rnacentral:lncRNA from 1 species
AUAAUGCGCAUCACUGAGAGUACCCCUUACUGGUACCCUCGACAAGAAGACUAGCACGCGGAGGACAUUCUAAUCACUGUCAGAAUGCUGCUGACUUUCAAAUACACCUCUGCCACCUGCUAGCUACAUCAAGAGAAAUUACAUCAAAAUUCAGCUUGGGAGAGAGCACCCCCAUUUAUCUCGCUAAGUAUUUCUACCUAUCUUUAUACUUAUAUUAUGUUAGAAUAUUAAAAUACAUAAACUAUGAAAAACCAAAUAAAAAUUUUGUGUUUAUAUAUAUAUAUAUAUCUUUUGCUUAGUGUGUUUAAUAAAUAAAUAAAGUGGCUAUGCUAAUCUGAAUCUUAAUAAUAAAACUCUAGCAUGGAUAUGAUGAAUAUUUGCUCUGCCUAAUUUGUAAAUUUGAAGUUCUCUCUCAAGUUUAGACAUAACUGUUAUAAUUUAAAGCUUGCUCUAGAUCUAAACUUGUGGGAUGAAAACUUGAUCUGAAAUCUAAGUUGUUAACGGAUAUGAUAUGGGAAGGUUGAACUGCUGUUUAUCUGUUCCUAGAGAUGCUAGAAUUUUGGAGAAUUUUAUCUUUAAAAAUCUUUAAAAUGUUGCAUGAUGAGUUCCUGUAUGAUGAGAGUUUAAAAUCCUACCACAGCCACAUAUACAUGCUUAUUAGACUAUGAACCAUACAUUUACUUUUUACUGCUUAUGAGCAUUGAGUGUAGUCAAGCUGUGUAGACCCUUAGGAGCUUGUCAUGCGGUUAAAAUCAAGAUUCACUUGCACGUUCACUCAUAUAUGCUGCUUCUACUCCAGAAGUACGCAUCCACAUACAUCCACUCCUUUCCAUCUCGAGAUUCACCCAAAAUUAUUCUACUCCUAUCCGGGAGAGAAUAGCCAAAAACAUUAUCCCAUUCCUGUUUUUCCUUGUGAAAUAAAUGCUCAAGCUAUUUUGGUUACUACCACUUGCUACAUUAUUCCAGAAGGGUGAGUGCUCUGAAAAAAAAAGAAAAACACGAGGAAAUAAAAAUGGGCAAGUGCCCGGAACCUCGAAAGAAAAAAGAAAAAGUGACACGAGAGGUAAAAAUGGACAAGUGUCUGACAGUAGAAUUAGGGGUACAAGAUACCCACCCGAAAGAAAAGAAAAAUAAAAUAUAGAGCAUCUCAUUCUCCUCAAAAAGCUUUAAAGUGCAAGAAAGAUAUGUAUCCUCUCAAAAGAGCAAAAGUAGAAUUAGACUUUCACCAUUGUUUUCACCAUUAUCACUAUCAUCACCAUACACCAUUCAUUCGCCACACAUGCACAUCUUGAUUUAACUUAUUGACUUGUUUCUCUGGAUCCAUGGUUUGUCUAUGCAAUAAAUGUCUUGUAAGUAUGUAUUAGCUGUCUCCCACCUAUGAGCUCCAGAUAUCAAAACCUUAUUAGAGUAGGGUGAGAGAGAAGGCAAUGUCACUAUGCCUCAUACCACAAAUACCACAUACUUUGAGAGAAGGCAUAUACCAUCACUGCCUUGGUAAGGAUUCAGAAAUACCACAAAAGAGAGAAUUGAGAGAGUCAUACAAGGAAUCUCUGAGUUUUAUUUGAAAAUCUGUAAAAACUCCAGAGCUAUAGUUGAUCAAAGAACAAGAGACAUGGUGCUUGACUUGACCGUUCUAUCUUUUAACUGCUCAAGACACAAGUGACGGUUGCAAGCCCCAUGGUGAAAGGUAAUAUGAGUAAGUUUUAAAUCUUAACAACUUACCUUAACCUAGAGAUGAGAUCUUGUUUGAAUGCAUGAGUACCUUUAAGGCAUAAAACCACUGCAAAAACUCUUGAGUCCAUCCUUGCUCAGGGACGAGCAAGAGGUAAGCUUGGGGGAGUUGUUGACGGUCCUUAAGUACCAAAUAUAAUCAUCAAAUAAACAAAGAAAAGGAUUCAAAUGAAAUCAAAAUCUAGACUUAGGUUUUUAUCUGACAGAAUUCUAUGAGUUUUGGUGUUUGUCUAUUUUUGCAGGGGGUUAUUAGGAAAUACGGAAGAAAGGCCCGCACGUCGGGAUUACAUAGAGAUAUUAACGUGUCGCGCAAUUAUCUUACAUCUAGAAGACUCCAGCCGAACGGGGCCAGAGGCAGGGUGCCCGCCCUCCUGCCCUGGGCGCCCGCCUUGACUUAGAGCCCAAUCAGGACUCUUUCUCUCCGGAGAUCUCCACCGACCUAAAGGAUCAAGAAUAACCGUUCAAUCAAUGUCGGUUUGAUCCGACGGCCCAGGUUCACUUGAGGGGACUAUAUAACCAGACCCCCUAGCCCCUGGAGGAGGCAACCCCUUGAUCAUUAUUCAUUAUUCGUAGACAGAGCAAAAGCUAGGGUUUAGAGAUGAGAGCUCUCCUCUCUUCUCUAAACUAGAGUAGAUCUAGAUAGUAGCGAGAUGGAGAGCGAAGGAGGAUUAGAGGAGAGGCCGGCCUGUCGGUUCUUCCUCCGGUUGUACUUCGUCAUGAUCAAGCUCUAAUCAAGCCUGCUCAUGGGAUGACUCUGGUAAUCUACUUUUAAUUCAUUAUGCAAUUACUAAUCAUGUAUGUUCUAGUUCACAACUCUUUUGAGUACUUCUAAUCUAUAGGACGCUAUAGGUUAGAGUUGUAGUAUAAUUAUAAGCGUGGUGCUUACACCUAGAUUACUUGUGGAUAUCCCCUGUCUAGCUGGAUCGUGUGGUAGGCCGCGUAGGUGACAAUUACGUUGGUCCUCUGUAGUCCACCUCUCGUUAGCAGGACGGGUAGGGUUUAUCGGCCUAAGGAUAAGCAUCCUUUGUGGUGUACUCUUAUCACGUGGUUCGUCCCAGACAUAGACAUACCCCUUUGAAGUAGAGAAACCAUAGUUAUCCUCUCUAUUCUGCAACCAUCGCCCAUAUACUAGAAUUGCUCUACUCUCUAUUCCCAUAUUAUCACCUAUUGUUAUCUUACCUUUAAUAUUAUUCUUAUUCAAUUCUACCAUCUUUCCUAUUUCCACCUAUCUAUCUAUCUUGGUUAAGUUAGAGCGUAGUUGAUUCUCCCGUUUCCCUGUGGAUACGAUAAAACCUUUAACCGGAUAAAAGCUUCAACGGUAUCCGUGCGCUUGCGGAUUAUCUGUGUGCGUAUAAAUACCAUAGCACACUCUAGUGCCAUGCUGGGGAUGACAACCUAGUAUUCAAGUGGUGUUAGCAAGUGUCAACAGCUACUACUGACCUUCUGAAGGUCAAGAGAGGCGAUCCAGGAUGCCCCGUCAUCCCGAUCUCCAUCGGCAUGGUGGACUUCCCAGAAGCACUCUGUGACUUUGGCUCUAGUGUCAACAUUGUGCCGAGGGUACUCUAUUAAAAAUUCUUUACAUAUCCUUUAUUAAAACAACCAUGUGUUUGCAGUUUGCAGAUGAGACGAUCAGUUUUCCAAAAGGAAUAUUGAGGAACCUUUGCGUCCGAGUUGGUACCUUAUACGCCCUAGCAGACUUCGUGGUGAUAGAGACCGAUAAUGAUGAGAGGGCACCCAUCAUCUUAGGGAGGCCAUUCUUGAACACCUCGGGAGCUGUCAUCUACGCUAGUGCUGCCAAGAUCAGUUUCUACAUCGAAGGGAGGAAGGAGACAUUUUCCUUCAAGAACAAGACUACACAAAUCCCAGAUCAAUCCAGACGUGAAUCAAGGAAGAGGACCAACAGGAGGAAUAGGAACAAGCAAGUGUGGACCGAGUCAGCUAAGAUGGUCACUGCAGUUCAAGGAGGUCAAGAUCAUCAACUUAAGUCACCAUUUUUUACCAAGAAGGAUGACCCUGGAAUGCCAAGAAUCUAUUGCUCCAUAAAUGGAUACAACUUCUACAAGACGACUUGCGACACCGGAUCGGGCGUCAACAUAACGGCCGCAGUCACCUAUCGGCUCUUGUUCGGAAACAUGCCCUUAAAACCAAUAUACAUUCAGCUCCAGAUGGCAGAUCAAACAUUUCGAGAGGUUAAAGGUAUAGUAACUGAUGUCCGUAUCAAAAUAGACGAUCAUUUUGUCUACACAGACUUUCAGGUCAUUGACAUGGGAGAAGACGAGUACGAUCCACCCAUCAUCCUUGGAAGACCGUUCCUCAGCACCGUUAAAGCAAUCAUCUACAUUGGAACCGGAGAAGUCCAUAUGCACUUCCCCUUAGAAAAGGUACGCCGAUAUUUUACUGACCCUAACUAUAUCGUUGAAGACUCUAAGCAGGUCAGGACAAGAAAACGACGCAACUGCAACCAGAGGAGGGAAAUCAUCAAGGACGGAUGGGCAGACUAUGAAGGAGAAGUGAUAAGGUCAGAAGACAUACAGUUUAAACAGAAUUAUCCAGAGGAGACUGUAGCACCGAGUCAGGAAUGGAAAGAGAAGAUAACUAUACAUGAAGAGGAUGCGCUGCCGGAAGUACCGACUCCGCCACCCAACGAAUCCCAGGACAACUGAGAAAACAGAGAGUCCCGUUCGGAGGACUUAAAAACACCGAACGCCUUGCCAAGAGGUAAACUUGGUAGUUAUCCUUUCCCUUUCAAUUAUUUUAAACAGUUGAGUCAAUCAUGUUUAUACUAUCCUAAAAAGAAAAUAAAAAUGUUAAAAAACAGUAAGCCCCAUGCGAGUAUACGAGUGGCAUAAAACCCAUAAGUACAAUCACUGUGGUGGCAUAAAAAUAAAAUAAAUAUUUCUUUUUCUGCUUUAUAAAAUGAAAAUAUAAAAAUAGGGAGUAAUAGUUAUUGAGGAGGCUCAAUAUGAUGAAGGCUAAAUAUUUAUGCUAACACUUAAUCAGUUCCACAAAGCUUUCUUGUCUCUUUGAGCUCCAUAGAAUUUAAGAAUCAAGAAGACUAGUAGACGGAGGUCAUUCUAAUCGCUGUCAAAAUACUGCCGACUUUCAAAUACACCUCUGCCACCUGCUAGCUACAUCAAAAGAAAUUACGUCAAAAUUCAGCUUGGGGGAGAGCACCCCCAUUUAUCCCGCUAAGUAUUUCUAUCUAUCUUUAUACUUAUACUAUAUUAAAAUAUAGAUAUACAUAACUAUGGAAAACCAAAUAAAGAUUUUGUGCUUAUAUAUAUCUUUUGCUUAGUGUGUUUAAUAAAUAAAUAAAGUGGCUAUGCUAAACUGAAUCUUAAUAAUAAAACUCUAGCAUGGAUAUGAUGAAUAGUUGCUCUGCCUAAUUUUCAAAAUUGAAGUUCUCUCUCAAGUUUAGACAUAACUGUUAUAAUUUAAAGCUUGCUCUAAACCUAAACUUGUGGAAAGAAAACUUGAUCUGAAGUCUAAGUUGUUAAUAGAUAUGAUAUGGGAAGGUUGAGCUGCCGUUUAUCUGUUCCUAGAGAUGCUGGAAUUCUGGAGAAUUUUAUCUUUGAAAAAUCUUUAAAAUAUGGCAUGAUGAGUUCCUGUAUGAUGAGAGUUUGAAUUCCUACCACAGCCAUAUAUACAAGCUUGCUAGACUUUGAGCAACACAUUUACUUUUUACUGUUUAUGAGCAUUGAGUGUGGUCAAGCUGUGCAGACCCUUAGGAGCUUGUCAUGUGGUUAAAUCAAGAUUCACUUGCACGUUCACUGAUACAUGCUGCUUCUAUUCCGGAAGUAUGCAUCCACAUAUAUCCACCCAUUUCCAUCUCCAGAACCACCCCAAAAAUAUUCUACUCCUAAUCCGGGAGAGAAUAGCCAAAAAUAUUUAUAUUUUCCCCUAUGAAAUAAAUGCUCGAGUUAUCUUGUUACUACCACUUGCUAUAUUAUUUCAAGAAAUGAGUGCUCUAAAAAAAAGAAGAAUAAAAGAUACGAGGAAAUAAAAAGGGGCAAGUGCUCGGAACCUCGAAAGAAAAGAAAAAGUGAGACGAGAGGUAAAAAUGGACAAGUGUCCGACAGUAGAAUUAGGGGUACAAGAUACCCACCUGAGAGAAAAUGAAAUAUAGAGCAUUUCAUUCUCCUCAAAAUGUUUCAAACAGCAAGAAAGGUAUGUAUCCUCUCAAAGAGCAAAAGAUUUAGACUUUCACCAUUGUUAUCACCAUCAUCACCAUAUACCAUUCAUUCGCCACACAUGCACAUCUUGAUUGGACUUAUUGAUUUGUUUCUUUGGAUCCAUGGUUUGACUAUACAAUAAAUGUCUUGUGAGUAUGUAUACUUUAUCUCCCACCUAUGAGCUCCAGAUAUUAAAGCCUUAUUAGAGUAGGAUGAGAGAGAAGGCAAUGUCACUAUGCCUUAUACCACAAAUACUACAUACUUUUUGAGAGAAGGCAUAUACUAUCACUGCCUGGGUAAGGAUCCAGAAAUACCACAGAAGAGAGAUCUAAGAGAGUCAUACAAGGAAUCUCUGAGUUUUAUUUGAAAAUCUGCAAAAACUUCAGAGCUAUAACUGAUCAAGAAUAAGAGACAUGGCACGUCACUAGACCGUUCUAUCUUUUAACUACUCAAGACAAAAGAGACGGUUACAAGUCCCAUGGUGAAAGGUAAAAUAAGUAAGUUUUAAGUCUUGACAGUUUACUCUAACUCAUAGAUGAGAUCUUAUUUAGAAGCAUGUGUACCGUCAACUUUUAAAGGUAUUGCAACAACUUCUGAUCCAUCGCUUAGAUUAUCCUUGCUCAGGGACAAGCAAGAGGUAAGCUUGGGGGAGUUUGUUGACGGUCCUUAAGUAUCAAAUUUAAUUAUCAAAUAAACAAAGAAAAGGAUCCAAAUGAAAUCAACAUCCAGACUUAGGGUUUUAUCUGACAGAAUUCUAUGAGUUUUGGUGUUUGUCUAUUUCUGUAGGAGGUUAUCAGGAAAUACGGAAGAAAGGCCCACAUGUCGGGAUUACAUAGAGAUAUCAACAUGCCGCGCAAUUAUCUUACAUCUAGAAGACUCCAGAAGCCACGGAAACGAAGCGGAGGCGAAACAGGGCCUGGCCCUGGGCGCCCGCCCAGGAGACUAGGGCGCCCGCCCCCUGUUAGAGUCCAAUCAGGACACUCUUUCGGGAUUACGCUCCACCGACCUAAAGGAUCAAGGAUAACCGUUCAAUCAAUGUCGGUUUGAUCCAACGGCCCAUAUUCACUUGGAGGGACUAUAAAACCAGACCCCCUGGCCCCUAUAGGAGAGAGCCUCUCAACCCUAAUUCAUUAUUCCUCAAGGGAGAAGAAGCCUCUGAUCAAGCCUAGAGCCACCACAACAAUUAGACAUCUAGAUUAGCAUAGCUAUAUAGGAUUAGAACUAGAAGGAGUCAAUCUUCGAUUGGUUUCCAGAUCUGUUAAGAGGAUUCUUGGUAAUUCUCUAGUUGUUCUUCUAAUUGUUCAUCUUUGUUCUUCAAUAUUAUGAAUAUGACUUUGUUCUACUUCAAUAUAUUGCUUAUGACUUUGCUCUACUUGUUUAUAUUCAAGAUUAUAUUGUUCUUAGUCUAUCAUAGUUAUAUACUUGGCUUAGUUAGAUUUCAUCUACAUACAUGUUUAGAAUCGUAUAGCGUUUCUCCAUCAGAUCCAUGGGUAAAUGAUAGAUAUUGUGCAGGCGUGUUGCUUAUAACGUAUUUAUCUGCGAUUGUACCCAAUAUGCCAGAUCACGGGGUAGUUCGUGAUAGUGACAGCUUCAUUGAUUCUUAUAUAGUCCCCCUCUCGUGUAUUGGGCUGGCAGAGCAACAUUAUUAUAGGGGAGUUAUUGCUAUGUUUCUCAUAUUCCUUGCUAAUAUCACUAUGCAUGGGCGUAGUCUUGUCUCACAAUGAUUGCUAAGUGUGCUUGCACUAACUAUGAUAUGCUAGACUAUAUAGUUGAGAAUAACUUAGGAAAUAUUCCUGUAGUUCGUUCUAAUUCCAUGCUAAUGACUUGCUAGAAUAUCUAAUUGAGGUGCUUAUCAUAUUUAUUACGUGGCUAAGUUAUGCUGAUCAGAUUAAUUACCUUUGUCACUAUUCAUUACUUUAUAUCCUUUAUGUGACACUUACCCCAGUAUGAAAGAGUUAGAUAGUUGUUCUCAAUUAUACAUGCAAUGAUAGAUACUCAAUCUCAUAUUCCAUUCUAUAAUCAACAUUGAUGAUUGCUAAUCCCUUCCCAAUGGUAAAAAUAUAAAUAACGAUACCUGGAAUACUUCUCGGUUAAAAUGCUACAUCGGUAUUAAUCUGUGCGCUUGCAGAUCCCAUUCAUUAUUUAUUUAGAUGAGCAAUUGCAUAUUUCAAUACCGCGUCUCUCAUGUCAUGCUGGGGAUGACAACUUGGCUUAAGUGGUAUGAGGGAUAGGUUUUGCAUUUUUGCAACCGUUAUCAGCAUUAGAAAACUAAGUCUACUUUUGGUAAUGAUGUUAAGAAUACCCAACAAUCACGAGCUCCGGUCCCGCGUGGCCGCAGGGCAUGCAGCGCCGUGCACGCGUCCUCGCCGCCACACAGCUGCUUGCUGGCCACGUCACCGCGCAACAUGGAUGCCCGCGACCCCUUCACCUCGUCCUCUUAAGCGCCCGCGCGGCCGACCUUGAGUUCCCUUGCUUCGGCGACCGAAAACACACGACGACACCCCACCGCCCAAUACGCCCAGUGUGUUUCCCCUCUGACCAAAUUGAGCUCUCCAACAUCUCCGCCACCCCAUUGCGAACCCAGCGUACGCCCAGGAACACUCCCUGCCCCUCUCAAUCACCCGGACUUCCUCUUCUUCUGCAACUCCGACCGACUUCCACCGUGAGCUCCCUUCCUCGUGGUCAGGCCAUUCCACAAGGUAUCAAGCCAUGGUAAGAGAUGUUAGAGCUUCACCGUGCUGUCCCGUAGCUCAUGUGCUCGAUUCUUGGUCUUACGCACGUGCAGGUCCACCGGAACGACCCCGCCGAGCCCAGAGCGCCCGCCCGAAGACACUGCCGCCGUCGCUAGCACCCUCUGCUGCCUCUCCCGCCGUGGUGACAUGAGCACAAUGGUCCUUGCUCUACCCUGAAGCUACCCAAUGUUGACGGUCCUUAAGUAUCAAAUUUAAUCAUCAAAUAAACAAAGAAAAGGAUCCAAACACAACCGACACCCGGACUUAGGGUUUUAUCUGAUAGAAUUCCACGAGUUUUGGUGUUUGUAUAUUUCUACAGGGGGUUAUCAGGAAAUACGGAAGAAAGGCCCACACAUCGGGUUUGCAUAGAGAUAUUAACGUGUCGUGCAAUUAUCCAACAUCUAGAAGAGUCCAGAAGCCACAGGAACGAACGGGAGACCGAACGGGCCCGGGGGCAGGGCGCCCGGCCUCCCCCCUUGGGCGCCCGCCCUGGCCUGAGGGCCAAUCAUCUUCAUCUUCGCGGAUCAUGCUCCACCGACCUAAAGGAUCUGAUAGCCCAUAUUCACUUGGAAGGACUAUAUAAGCAGACCCCCUGGCCCGUGGAGGAGAGCACCUAUCUGAAACCCUAAUUCAUUUAUCCAUCUUGGGAGAAGAAGCCUCUGAUCAAGCCCUAGAGCCACCACAUCAAUAGAUCUCUAGUUUAGCAUAGCUACAUAGGAUUAGAACUAGAAGGAGUUAAUCUUCGAUUGGUUUCUGGAUCUGUCAAGAGGAUUCUUGGUAAUUCCUCUACUGUUCAAUUGUUCAUCAUUGUUCUUCAAUAUUAUGAAUAUGACUUUAUUCUACUUCAAUAUAUUGAUUAUGACUUUGCUCUACUUGUUUAUAUUUGCAAUUAUAUUGUUCUUAGUUUAUCAUAGUUAUAUGCUUGGCUUAGUUAGAUUGGAAUUAUAUACAUGUUUAGGAUCGUAUAGCGUUUAUCCAUGUGUACAGUGGGUAAAUGAUAAGUAUUGUGUAGGCGUGGUGCCUAUACCGUAUUUAUCUGCGAUUGUACCCUAUAUACCGGAUCGCGGGGUAGUUCGUGGUAGCGACAGCUCCAUUUAUUCUUAUAUAGUCCCCCUCUCGUGUAUAGGCAGAGCAACAUUAUAACAGGGUAGUGAUUGCUAUGUUUCUCAUCUUUCUUGAUAAUAUCACUAUGCAUGGGUGUAGUCCUGUCUCGCAAUGAUUGCCAAGUAUAAUUGCACUAACUAUGAUAUGCUAGACUUUAUAGUUAAGAAUAACAUAGGAAAUAUUCUUGUAAUACGUCCUAAUUCCAUGCUAAUGACUUGCUAGAAUAUCUAUUGAGGUGCUUAUCAUAUUUAUAUGUGGCUAGUUAUGUUGAUCAGAUUAAUUAUCUUUGUCACCAUUCAUACUUUAUCUAUCUUUUAUGUGACACUUAUCCCUGUAUGAAAGAGAUAGAUAAAUGCUCUCAAUUAUACAUGCAAUGAUAGAUACUCAAUUCUAUAUUCCAUUCCAUAAUCAACAUUGAUGAUUAGAAAUCCCUUCCCAGUGGUAAAAAUAUAAAUAACGAUACCUGAAAUACUUCCCGGUUAAAAUGCUACAUCGGUAUUAAUCUGUGCGCUUGUAGAUCUCAUUUAUUAUUCAUUCAGAAGAGCAAUUGCAUAUUUCAAUACCGCGUCUCUCAUGUCAUGCUGGGGAUGACAACUUGGAUUAAGUGGCAUGAGGGAUAGGUUUGGCAUUUUUGGCGCCGUUAUCAGAAAUAGAAAACUAAGUCUACUUUUGGUAGUGACUUUAAGAAUGCCCAACAAGCAUUUCUGGCGCCAUUGCCGGGGAAGGUUGAUUACUAAUUAGGAAUGAAUAUGGAAUUUUGAGUCAUCAUUCGCAUCACUAAUAUGAUUGAGAUUAUCAAUUCUCUGAUACAGUUUUACCAUCUAUUUUACUUUAUGCACGGUGAUGUAUGAAUAGAAGACAUCUUCCAGGAAAUUUUGUUGCCAACCCCGAAGCAUUAUUCAGAAAAACAAGAGCCAAGCUCAAGAAGGCAUCGUCAACACUUCAGCACGAAGCUUCAUCCAACCAAGAUGAUCGCCAAAGUUUCAUCUGGAAUUUGUCUUCAGAAUACGAAGUCAUGGCGAACAAAUCGAUCCGUGAGUUCUCAGCUCCCACUACGGACAACAUCCGUACUGGACCUGCUGCAGAGAUUGACGGCAACUUUGAGCUCAAGCCUAGACUUAUCAACAUGGUGCAAUCCAACCAGUUCUGUGGGAAGGCACACGAAGAUGCUAGUGCUCAUCUCCAACACUUCCUGAGAUUUGCAGCACAUUCACCAUAUCAGGAGUCCCUAGAGAUGCUAUACUACUUCGCCUCUUCCCAUUCUCACUGUUGGGGAGAGCGAAGCUGUGGUUCUACACUACAAAGGAGAAUAAUACUACGUGGGCACUCCGCUCCACAAACUUUCUGGCUAAGUUCUUUCCUAUGGGCAAGACCAAUGCUCUCCCUAGGGAAAUUUCAAGUUUUCAGCAACAACAUGAUGAAUCCGUUCCAGAAGCAUGGGAGCGCUUCCAAGACUACAUCCUAGAAUGUCCCCAUCAUGGAAUGGAGAGCUGGCUACUCAUGCAGACAUUUUAUCAUGGGCUCAGCAAUAGUGCCCGUGAGACCAUGGAUGCUGCAACUGGAGGAGCAUUCCUAUACUCACCAUACCACAAGCCACAGCUCUUGUGGAGAAGAUGGCGUCCAAUCAAGGCUGGAAUGAAGAAAGAACCUAGACACGCAGAGAGGUGGAGGUAUGCACCAACUCAAGGAGGUAGACAUGCUGUCUGCUAAGCUAGACCUGCUCAUGAAGAAGCUCGAUGAUAGAGCUGGAGAUAAGAAAGAAGUUAUGCACAUCUACGACUCUCACAUGACUUGUGAGGAGUGUGUUAAUAUUGGACACUCAGGCAAUCUCUGCCCUGAGAUGCUUGAGGAUGUCAACUACAUCAACAACAACAACAGCAACAACAACUAUUACAACCGUCCUCAACAAAAUCAAGGUUCGAAUCAACAGAGGCCUAACUACCUAGGUAAUUAUCAAGGUAACAAUUCUUACAAUAAUAAAAAUUUUCCACCUCUGAGAGAGUUAAUGUCUAAUCAAGGAAAGCUAAUGGAUAAUCUAUCUAAGAAAUUGGCAUCUAAUGAUAAAAUGUUAGAAAAUAUAAAUAAUAGAAUGAAUAAAUUCUCUACUACCAUCAGGAAUCAACUUAGCUUUAAUAAAAAGAUUGAAUCUCAGUUAAAUCAAAUAGCUGCUGCUGUUCCUGCUACUAACCCCAGUAUACCAUCACAACCAGAAGGAUUAGAAUCUGCAAAUCUUGUAGACAUGUUUGAUGCAGGUAACUACUGGAGUAACCCCGUCACGGAAGUUACUACUGACCUUCUGCCAGUCAAGAGAGGCGAUCCAGGACGCCCCGUCAUCCCGAUCUCCAUCGGCAUGGUGGACUUCCUAGAAGCACUCUGCGACUUUGGCUCUAGUGUCAACAUUAUGCCAAGGGUACUCUAUGAAAAAUUCUUUACAUAUCCUUUAUUAGAAACAACUAUGUGUUUGCAGUUUGCAGAUCGGGCGUUAAGUUUCACAAAGGGAAUUUUGAAGAAUCUCUGUGUCCGAGUUGGUACCUUGUACGCCCCAGCAGACUUCAUGGUGAUAGAGACCAGUAAUGAUGAGAGGGCACCCGUCAUCUUAGGGUGGCCAUUUCUAAACACCUCGGGAGCUGUCAUCUAUGCUAGUGCUGCCAAGAUCAGUUUCUACAUCAAAGGGAGGAAGGAGACGUUUUCUUUCAAGAACAAGACUGCACAAAUCCCAGAGCAACCCCGACAUGAACCAAAGAAGAGGACCAACAGGAGGAACAAGAACAAGCAAGUGUGGACCGAGUCAGCUAAGAUGGUCACUGCAGUUCAAGGAGGUCAAGACCGUCGACUCAAGUCACCGUUCCUAGCCAAGAAGGACGACCCAGAUAUGCCAAGCAUCCAUUGCUCCAUCAAUGGGUACAACUUCUACAAGACACUUUGCGACACUGAAUCGGGCAUCAACAUAAUGGCCGCAGUCACCUAUGUAACACCCUAGGUGUUAAGCAUGCAUUUAGCCCUAUCACAACAUGCAUAAGCAUUUUCAUCAAGCAUAGCAUCAUGAGCAUGUCAUUCAUCCCAAAACAUGAUUUUAUGUGCUUUAUUUCAUGUGUUUUAAUUAUGCUAAAAUAUGAUGCUUGCUUCCAAAAAUGUGAAAUAUUUAAACUAGGUUGAUUUAUGUGUAAGAAGAAUUUAGAGUAUUUUUGUGUAAUUUUUGGAGCUAUGGAAUUUGAGAAAUGGAAUUUAUACAAGAUUUCCAAAUUGAAUUUAUUUAAAAACCUAGAACUAAGUUUUAAUUUGUAAUUCAAAUUCUAUUUGGAAUUUGGUCUUGCUUAUUAAAGCAAAGUUGUAGAGUUUUUGCUUUGGAACAACUUUGUUUUUGGGAGCAAGAGGUGAAAAUGAUUUUAAAUUGGUCCAAAUGAAUUUAGAAAGAAUUUGGAGAAAAGGAAUUAAAAAAAAGGAAAGGGGCAGGCGCUGCUGGGCCAACCCCGCUUCCCUUUCGGCCCAACGAGCGGCCCGGCCUGCCUCCCCCUUCCCCUCUCUCCCGCGUGCGCGGCGCCCGCCUCGCUCCACCCGGCGCCGGCCACGUGGCGGCCGUACGCCGGCAUUGGACGCGCCGCGGCCGGCCUCCAACCCCCCCUGGUCGGGACGCCGGCUCGGGCUCCCAGGCCAUUUCCUCCGUUCUGUCCCCCGCGCCCUCCUUCUCCUUCCUCCCUUCGCUCGCACCGCGCAGCAGCAGCAGCUCCUCCGCACGCCAUUGCCGGAGAAAGCCCCGCCGCUCGCCGCCGACCGCACCAGAGCCUCAAGGUCACCGCCGAGAGCACCAGCGCCUUCGUCAUCGUUAGGGUAAGCUUGUGCGCGCGUUCUAUCGAGGUGAGAGUCCGUCGAGCGCCGUGAAUAGCUCGCCGGAGUUACACCGAGCUCGCCGGAGUACUCCGCCGCGACGGAUCUUGUGUUUCUCUGCCUCUUUUCGCUGGUUCUUGGGUGCGCUAGGUCGGUAGGGUGGUGAGGAAGCUCGGAGAGGCGUUUGCGCACGCUCUACCGCGCCGGAGCGGCCUGGCCACGGCGAGCAGCGCCGCCGUGCCGCCAUGCAUGCUCGUCGGAGGUGUUCCGGUCAUCCUCCGGCCAAUCCAAGGGUACCGUUGGGUGCGCCUCGCUGCGGGGAGCACGUUGGUGCUUACCCCGUGGCGGGAGACCUCACCGCCGGCGAGAUCUGCUCGUUGGAGGUGAGCUCCCUCUCGGUCUCGCUGACCGGUGGGGUCGGGGACCCACUGUCAGUCGCAGGGGGACCCCGGUGGGUGUAGAUCUGGGUGUGCGUAGCCUUUUUCGUCGGUUUUCUUGAAUAAAUGAUUUCCAAAAAUUGAUUCAAAACUUGAAAAAUUCAUAUCUUGAGUUCUACAGCUCCAAAUUGGAUGAAAUAAAUUUUAGUGUGCUCUAUAUUUCCAGAUCUACAGUUUGAUGUAAUUGCAUGUCAUGUUUGAGUAACUUUUCUGAAUAAAUAUAUUUAAUCCAUGUUUUUGCUAAACUUGGAGAAUGCAUAGUAAAUAAAAUAUGGUUCAGAAAAAUGUGAAACUUGAUUUGUUGGCUCUGCAUAUAUGUUUACUCACUGGGAAAAUAUUGCUACAUAUUAUUUGGUGUAUAGAUGAAUUUAAGGUAAUUUAAAUGCUUGCAUGGUAGUGAUUUAUGAUUUUUAAUAAUUAAUUGGAUCAUGCAAUAAAUCUGGAAAAUUUUGUGGGUGUUUCUUAUGAUAUUAGACAAAUUGUAAAAAUAUGAAAUCUGUUAUUUGACACUUAUAUCAUAGUAGAGUGAUUAUACUUACCCUAUGAAUUAAUCUUGUGAUUUUUGUGGCUCAAAAUAAGUAUCCAAAAAUUAUGAAAAAUUUACAGUAGACUUUAUGCGUAGCUGGUAGUCUCCUGUAAUUUUUGUGGAAUUUAUUGAUGAACAGAAUUGCAUGUGAUUUUUAAUGGGCCUAGAAAUGAAUAAAGAAAAUUUUGAAUUGUUGUGUAUAUAGGUUGAAUAGAAUAGGUUGGGUUUGGUGUAUCUUUGAAGCAUCAUGUGGGUUGCUGGUUGCAUUUGAAAAAUAAUUGUAGAAGAGAAUGCAAUAGAUGUUUGAUUCAAUUGUUUGUUCUUGGAUGAUGUUGACUACCUUGUAAUGAGCAUGACCGAGUACAUUACAUAUGCAUCAUGUCAUGACUCCUUUGGUACUUUCUCAUACAAGCAUCCACUCGGGCAUCUCGCACUCCACUAAUAAGCACCCAUGCAUCAUACAGGCUUGCAGGAGAACGAAGUGGGAACCGAGGAACCCGAGGAGAUUCAGGAGCAGGAACCUCCGGAAGCACAGGAACCCGGAGAGAAGCUGCAGGAGUGUCCGGAUCACGGACCCAGCACGUUUGAGAAAGGCAAGCCCCGGAGCAUUCUAAGUCUCCCUAUUCUCGCUAACUUAUAUGAUGCGCUAUAAUUGUUCUACUAUAUUGCAUCUAAGUGAUAGGAUUUGAUUGAUGCCGUUGAUGCAUAUGUACUCCUUGUUAUCCCUACUCGUUCACCUACCUUGUCCUAUGUAGAUAGGCACGGAGUCUAUGCUUAGCUUGCUUAGUCCGGUAGAAGUCGGGUGAUUUCCUGUCACCUGCGAGAAAUAGGUGGAUACCUGCUUGAUUAAGCAUUGGUUGCUUGGGGAAAAGAAUAACCAAGUAUGGAAUGUAACUGGAGACCGGGCAGGGUCUUAUGGUGGGUUGACCAUAGUGCCCCAGCCUGCGUUGAUUAAGGACCGAUCGUUGACGGCCCUCUUGUCAUGUUGAACGCAUGCCCCACACUUAGCUGGAAGGAUAAGUCGUUCCGACCGCGAAGCCUGAACACUAUCCGGGCCGGGCAUCGAGCCGCCAUGCGCUGUAUUGGUGAUGGUUGAGGAGAACGACGAGGGCGCGGCGCGCAACCUUGGUAUACCUUGGAUACCUCGAUCGCCGGAACGGUCCUCGGGUACUGGCGGUGCCUGCCGAACCCGCGAAUUGGUCCUGGAUAGUGUAAUAUAGUGAUCUGUAGCUCACUUGAUCAGUGAGUGUGGUUUGUGUGGGGAAUACCUCGCCAGCUGGUUAGAAAUCGAUUUGAAUCGCCAUCGCUCCUGGAUAGUGAGCACUUGACAUGAGCUUCGUCCUCGUAGUAAGGACUAUGGAACACUUGGGUUAUGUUGAUGAAUGGUUUUAAGAAAUGCUAUGAUGAGGUACUAUCAUAGCCUUAUACUCGCUUGUAAUAGUGCAGGUGCAAACCUAGAUGAUAGGUAAUGAUACUUUCAACUUGAGCAAAUUAAAAGAAGAAAGACUUAUGUAGGUUAUGAUAGUAAAAUCCUGCGGUUUUGCAAAAUGGUUGUCAGCUACCCCACUAUAUAGCCUUCAUGAUCCUUGAUGAGUCUUUAUUUUAAGUUUAUGACGGGUAAGUCUAGCUCUGUACCUUCUCGUACUCAGGGUUCUACUCCCAUGUUGUUUUGCAGAUGGUCAAAUGUACUAUGGUUAUUGCAUCCUCUGUCUGUACCCAGCCAUGGGUGAUGACUAGACCAAGGGCGAUGGUAACUCCGUCUUCUCUUUUGCUUUUGUGGGAAUGACCGAACUAUGGCACUGUAUCAGACUAAGCGUGUGUGUUGUAUUUUCGAACUACGAAGCUUCUGCUACUUGAAGAACUUGGUUUGUAAUAACUUUAAAAACUCCGAUGUAUUUUAUGAAUGUUGAAAUCUGGAUGUAUUGUGAAUGGCGACCGCUAAACUUAUUACGAUCUUGGCUGUUGUGUGAUAUGUGGUUUGAAAUCCUUCGAGAUUUCACGGACUACCGGGAUUAUAUGGGCUUAAGCGUGAUGGUUUGACUAUGCAAAUGGUCACUGUUAGGCUUAAUCUCUUAUAAUUUGGUCGGUUCUGUUACAGCUGGCAUCGGAGCAAGGUUUAGCGAGUUACUGUUCAUAAGUACGUUGUAAACAAAAUCUAAACCGGUCUAAUAAAGGAUUUUAUUAAUUAAUAAUGAUCAAAGUGUUAAACUAAGUUUUGGAAAACUAUCUAGUGUGCCAUGGUCAUAUCCUUUAUGCCCAGUUAAGGACUCUAAGGUGGCUAGUUAAGUACUGACUUGGGGGUUAAUGCAUCAUAUUUUUAUUUCGUCGCUCAUACGGCGUGCAAUAGUAUGAGUACCAUUCAUUUGAGUGGUAAUGUAUGGAUCUAUUUUUCCUCUACGUCAUGGUAAGUGGGAGCUGUGAGAGCAUGAUCGGAUACACCGCCGGUCUAGGGGAGUGUUGUUAGGUACUGUGUCAUGCACACAUGUUUUUGGUGUGUCUUGGAAACAGUACCGCAUGUUGGGAAUUCCGUCCUAAGAGGCGAUGCCGUCAUUAGGGCGAUGAUAUGGGUAGCAACACAUCACAUGCAUGGACGGGUGUCAGUGUAUGUGAAGUGCAUAGUUUUAAAUUUUGUUUUGCAUUAGCAUACUGUGGGUUGGCUGAAAUGAGUUUUCUGCAGGUACCCUAACCACGUUCUCUCUUAGAACGCUAGUUACGUUAUGAGAGAACGUUGUGUGCCACCGCAUAUACCGCUUAGUGUUAACCUUUGUUUCUAAGUUUGUGAGAUCGUAAGUUCGUGCAUGCAUCAUGUUCAUGUCAUAUCAUUGCUUACUUUCCACCUUAAUUUAAUCUGUCCCAAUUCUAAAUAAAAUAAUUAAAAGUAAUCCUCGCUCUUACCGACGGUAUUCCAUUUGCAGCAGAUGGCACGCACUAGGCUCACCGCUCGCAAGUCCACUGGUGGGCGGGCCCCUCGCCAUCCGUUGGCAGCUAGGAGCUCGCAACAUAAGAGCAAGUUCCUGGCGGAGUUUGGGAUGCCCACUUUGCUUUGGAGGGUACUCAGUUCGAUGGGGUAUCCCGAAGCAAGGGAGCCUCGCUACUAUUGGGAUAAGGAGCCGCUUGGUGACGAGACCCUGGUGGGGAUCGAGGCAGUUGUCCCUACCAGUGGAGGAGACCCUGCUUGGGGUCGCUGGGUGUACGAGUCCCGAGGUGUCACGCCUUUCCACGAUGCCAGCAGGGCAGCUUUCGCAGUUCUGAGGGACCUCUUGGAGAGGUUUCCACAGGAGCUGGCCCACGCCUUCGCUGGGGUGUUUCCCCGGGGUGACCCCUACACUUCGGUGUGGGAUCGUCCGAGGUGAGCGCUCUAGAAAGGAGUGCGGCUGAAGACCAGCACAGUGACAGCGCAGCUAUGAGUGCCAUGUACGCCUUGAUGAAGACCUAUGGAGGCCUGGAGCGUUGUUUGGGUCGCUUGUCCGGGUCUCUUCUCACCGUCCAGGAUGAGAAGCGUCAGUUGCAGCGUGAGUUCGACUCUGAGGUUGAGAGGCUGCAGGCAGAGUUGGCCCGUGUGACCAGAGAGAGAGACCAGGCAGUCCAGAAGAACAGCGAGCUGAGUCAGGACCUGCUUGCAGGGCGAGAGCAGAGGGACAGGGUGACUACUGCUCACAGGAACUGCGAGCGCAUGCUAGUCCAUGUGCUUGGACAGAGGAAUGAAGCCUGGCACGAGGAGGACACUUUGAGGGCCCGACAGCUAGAGCUAGAGCAGCAGCUAGCUAAUGCUGAGGAGUACAAUGAGAACUUGCAUGAGGAGAUCCACCAGCUGCAUAACCAGCUCCACCCUCACCACCUGCCUGGAGCAGCUGAGCUAGAUUCUGAGGACGAGAUGGACGCAGAUCCCGAGAUAGGAGCAGCUGCUAGUGGAGAUGAGGAUGAGGAUGGCUCCGGCCUGGGCAGUGACCAUAGCGAGUAGAUACUAGGGCUCUAGAGCUAGUCCUUCUUCUUGUGUUGUUGUAUGUUGCAUGGCAUGUCGUGUACUUUAGGGUCUGGGCUAUGUAAGACUUAUAAGUUAAUGCUGAAAGUCCAGUAUAUGUAUGCUGGCAAGUUGGAUGUACGCGAACCUUGUUGCGUAAAUGUUAAGUAAUCUGUUAGUGAUUUUGUGCGUAGAUGAUGAAUUGUUGUGCCUCUGUUUAUUGUGCGAAUUUAUUCCCUCAGUAAAUUCAGUACGGCACGAUUCUACACAUUUCUACCGUUGAUAACAACUCCUAACAAAUGCUUAUCAUUGAUGUAUGCAGAUGGUGCAAACACGUGGCGGGGGUAACAGCAAUCCGGGCCUUGGAGCAGGUACAUCCGGAGGUGGGGCUCAACGGAAUGAGGACAGAGCACCAACACUGCCAUCACCACCGCCUCCUCCGUACACUACGAACGUGUUUUUCGCGCAGUUUCUGGGGAGCCAACGCAACAUGGAACAGAUGCAGCGCAACAUGGAAGAGGCUCUGCGCAACAUAGCUGACAACACCCGUCGUGGGGAUAAUCAGGGUGGCCGAGAGGUCAACCAGUACAGUUCGUUCAAGGACUUCAUGGAUACCAAGCCACCAAUCUUCAAAGAGGCUUUGGAACCGCUUGAGGCAGAUGAGUGGAUCAACACCAUGGAGCAGAAGUUUCGUCUUCUCCGAAUGACAAAAGAACUUAAGGCUGAGUAUGCGGCACAUCAGUUGCAAGGACCCGCUGGGAUUUGGUGGUCCCAUCACCGUACAACCUACCCAGAGGGAACCCCAAUUACCUAGAACCGUUUCACCACAGCUUUCCGGGGAAACUACAUUCCUUCGGAUGUGGUUGAAAUGAAGGUUGGGGAGUUCAUGAGGCUGUCCCAGGGGACGAAAUCGGUGAAGGAGUAUCUACAUGCUUUCAAUAAUCUCGCUCGCUAUGCCCCUGAGUUUGUAAACACGGAGGCUAAGAAGAUUGCUAGUUUCCAGAGGGGCUUGAAUCCAAAGAUGCUGAAGACCAUGGGUACAGGGGCCAGGGCUACCUUCAAUGCUUACAUCAGUGACUGUCUCACCCAGGAGAACAACAACAACAACUACUACAUUGCAUCCAAGUCACGUAAGAGGGCUUUUGAAGCCGGAUCAUCUCAGUCCAGGGCACCAGUGGCAGGGAGACAGCAGUAUCGUCCUCCUGCCCCAGGUGCUAGGUUCCGACCGCCGCAGAGAAGGAACACCAGGCAUCCAACACAGCAGAAGCCGUACAAGGUGGCGAUAGCCAAUGCCAAGCCAAAGGCAGUUCAAGCUGCAACACCUGCCGUCAACAAUGCGCCCAAGGGUCCAUGCUAUAACUGCCUCAAGAUGGGGCACUUUGCUAAGGAAUGUCCCUACCCCAAGAGGCAGCAGCCAACCUAUCCAGCUCGUGUGCACCAUACCUCGAUCGAGGAGAUCCUGGAAGGAGAACCGGUAACAGCUGGUAUGUUUCCUGUCGACCAGCAUCUUGCAGUUGUUUUGUUUGAUUCUGGAUCAUCGCAUUCAUUCAUGAGCCAAGCAUUUGCACAAAAGCAUAGUCAACCAGUUAGAGAUCUAGGUUAUGGCUACCACAUCAGCUCAGCAGGGGCAGAUGUGUUGACCAAUAGAGUGGUCCGAGGGGCAACCCUGGAUAUAAGUGGCCAAGUUUUUCGGGUAAAUCUAGUGGUCAUGCCUGGGUUAGUUUUGGAUGUUAUCAUGGGCAUGAACUGGAUGAGAGAAUGGGGUGCUGUCAUAGAUACUGGGAAGAGAAUGUUAUCCCUUAGAGAACCGCAGAGCAAUCGCUCUUUUCAAGUACCUCUGCCCCGUCGUCUUGACUUUGCUAGCAUCUCUUGUGCUACGCACGUGGUUCCAUUACCAUAGAUCCCAGUAGUCUGUGAGUUCCCUAAUGUUUUCCCUAAGGAAUUACCAGGACUUCCCCCAGAUAGGGAAGUAGAGUUUGCAAUUGAGUUGAUCCCAGGUACAGCACCAAUAUCUAGAUGGCCGUACCGGAUGCCACCAAACGAACUCGCUGAGUUGAAGAAUCAACUAAAAGAGCUACUGGAUAAAGAGUUCAUCCGGCCAAGCUCGUCAGAGUGGGGUUGUCCAGUGUUGUUUGUGAAGAAGGAUCAAUCGUUGCGCAUGUGCGUGGACUAUCGUCCACUCAAUGCAGUGACAAUCAAGAAUAAGUAUCCCUUGCCAAGGAUCGAUAUCCUGUUUGAUCAGUUGUCCAAGGCAAAAGUGUUUUCCAAGACCCAUUUGAGGUCUGGGUAUCAUCAAAUCAAGAUUCGUCCACAGGAUAUCCCGAAGACUGCUUUUUCCACCAGAUAUGGGUUGUAUGAGUACCUUGUCAUGUCCUUUGGGUUGACAAAUGCUCCUGCAUACUUUAUGUAUCUGAUGAAUUUAGUCUUUAUGCCAGAAUUGGAUAAGUUUGUUGUGGUGUUUAUCGAUGAUAUUCUGGUUUAUUCCGAAAAUGAGCAAGAUCACGCCGAACAUCUGAGAAUCGUGCUGACACGAUUACGAGAGCAUCAGUUAUAUUCCAAGUUCAGCAAGUGUGAGUUCUGGUUGAAGAAAGUUCCUUUCCUAGGGCACAUUCUGUCGGAAGAAGGGAUUGCUGUGGAUCCAUCAAAAGUGCAGGAAGUCAUGGACUGGAAGACACCAACUUCUGUCUCGGAAGUUAGAAGUUUUCUUGGUCUGGCCGGGUAUUAUCGCCGAUUCAUACCUGACUUCUCCAAGAUUGCUAAGCCAAUGACAAGUUUGCUGCAAAAGGAUCAUAAGUUUGUCUGGACGGAAGGGUCUGAGUUAGCCUUCCGCACCUUGCGAAAGUUGCUAACCACUGCUCCUGUUCUGGCACAACCUAAUAUCGAAAAGCCUUUUGAUGUGUUUUGCGACGCAUCGAAGAGUGGCCUGGGGUGUGUGUUGAUGCAAGAUGGCAGGGUGAUAGCUUAUGCUUCCCGACAGUUGAGAAAGCACGAAGUCAACUACCCAACUCACGACCUCGAGUUAGCAGCAGUGGUACACGCUUUGAAGAUUUGGAGACAUUAUCUGCUGGGAAAUAAGUGUCACAUUUAUACCGAUCAUAAGAGUUUGAAGUACAUCUUCACUCAGUCCGAGCUAAAUAUGAGGCAACGACGGUGGUUAGAGCUAAUCAAGGACUAUGAUCUGGAAGUUCACUAUCAUCCGGGCAAGGCUAAUGUAGUAGCAGAUGCGUUGAGUCGUAAACCGCACUAUCAAGUGGUUCAACCGUUGUUUGAAGAUGGGUUCAAUCUCAUGCAUCCUGAGGUCUUAUGUCACAUACAACUCAGUUGUUCACUCGAGAGUCAAGUCAUUGAAGGACAGAAAACAGACAAGGGUAUUUUCCACAUCAAGGAGAAGAUCAAAGAUGACCCAAAAACUCAAUUUCGCGUUGAUGAGAAAGGGGUACUGUGGUUUGAACAUCGGUUAGUAGUCCCGAAGGAUCGAGAAUUGAAGAAUUGCAUCAUGGAUGAAGCCCAUCUCUCUAAGCUUUCUAUUCAUCCUGGCAGUAGCAAAAUGUAUCAAGAUCUAAGACCCCACUUUUGGUGGACCAAGAUGAAGAAGGAAAUAGCCGCAUCUGUAGCCCGUUGCGACACGUGUUGCAGAGUUAAGGCCAUCCAUAUGAAACCUGCAGGUCUGUUGCAACCGUUAUCAGUUCCAGAGUGGAAAUGGGAAGAGGUCAGUAUGGACUUUAUCACAGGAUUACCGACCACGAGGAAGGGGAAUGACUCGAUUUGGGUGAUCAUAGAUCGAUUAACCAAGUCGGCUCAUUUCAUUCCAGUCAAGAACACAUACAGACCUCCUGAGUAUGCCGAUAUAUAUAUAUGGCUGAGAUUUUUAAGUUGCAUGGUAUUCCCAAAACCAUCAUAUCAGAUAGAGGACCACAGUUCACCGCUCACUUCUGGGAGCGAAUGCAUAAGAAUUUGGGAACCAGUCUGAUAAGAAGGACGGCGUACCAUCCCCAGACUUCAGGACAAACGGAGAGGCUAAACCAAGUAUUGGAAGAUAUGCUGAGGGCCUGUGUGCUAUCAUCCAAGUGAUCAUGGGAGUCAUGGUUACCUCUGGCUGAAUUCUCAUACAAUAACAGUUAUCAAGAGAGCAUCAAGAUGGCCCCGUUCGAAGCUUUGUAUGGUCGGAGAUGUAGAACUCCAUUGAACUGGGUUGAACCUGGUGAGAGAAGAUACUAUGGUAUCGACUUCGUGAAUGAGGUAGAGAAGAAGGUACAAAUCAUACAGCAGCAUAUGCGCGCAGCGCAAUCCCGACAAAAGAGUUAUGCUGAUAAGAGAAGAAGGCCACUUGAAUUCAAAGUAGGUGACUAUGUGUACCUCAAGGUUACGCCAAUGAAGAAGGUUCAGCGUUUCCGAGUUCGAAGCAAGCUUGCACCCAGAUAUGUGGGACCGUAUCAAAUACUAGAGAGGAAAGGCCCAGUGGCCUACAAGAUUCAGUUACCUGAAGAGUUGAGCUCGAUCUUUCCGGUCUUCCAUGUGUCGCAACUACGGAAAUGUUUGAAGGUACCUGAGCAAAGAAUUGAACCUUGAGGGAUCAAAAUAAAAACAGAUUUAGAGUAUAAGGAGCAACCAGUGGGAAUUGUGGAUACCAAGGAAUGGGUAACCCGAAACAGAAUUGUCAGAACUUAUAAGGUGGUGUGGAGUCAUCAUGACGAUAGGGAUGCCACCUGGGAAACAGAGGAUUACUUGAAAACAGUUUAUCCAAAAUUUCAUAAGAAAUGGUUAGUAACCCAAAAUCUCGGGACGAGAUUUCCCUAAGGGGGAAGGGCUGUAACACCCUAGGUGUUAAGCAUGCAUUUAGCCCUAUCACAACAUGCAUAAGCAUUUUCAUCAAGCAUAGCAUCAUGAGCAUGUCAUUCAUCCCAAAACAUGAUUUUAUGUGCUUUAUUUCAUGUGUUUUAAUUAUGCUAAAAUAUGAUGCUUGCUUCCAAAAAUGUGAAAUAUUCAAACUAGGUUGAUUUAUGUGUAAGAAGAAUUUAGAUUAUUUUUGUGUAAUUUUUGGAGCUAUGGAAUUUGAGAAAUGGAAUUUAUACAAGAUUUCCAAAUUGAAUUUAUUUAAAAACCUAGAACUAAGUUUUAAUUUGUAAUUCAAAUUCUAUUUGGAAUUUGGUCCUGCUUAUUAAAGCAAAGUUGUAGAGUUUUUGUUUUGGAACAACUUUGUUUUCGGGAGCAAGAGGUGAAAAUGAUUUUAAAUUGGUCCAACUGAAUUUAGAAUGAAUUUGGAGAAAAGAAAUUUAAAAAAAAGGAAAGGGGCAGGCGCUGCUGGGCCAACCCCGCUUCCCUUUCGGCCCAGCGAGCGGCCCAGCCUGCCUCCCCCUUCCCCUCUCUCCCGCGCGCGCGGCGCCCGCCUCGCUCCACCCGGUGCCGGCCACGUGGCGACCGUACGCCGGCGUUGGACGCGCCGCGGCCGGCCUCCAACCCCCUCCUGGUCGGGACGCCGGCUCGGGCUCCCAGGCUAUUUCCUCCGUUUUGUCCCCCGCGCCCUCCUUCUCCUUCCUCCCUCCGCUCGCACCGCGCAGCAGCAGCAGCUCCUCCGCGCGCCAAUGCCGGAGAAAGCCCCGCCGCUCGCCGCCGACCGCACCAGAGCCUCAAGCUCACCGCCGAGAGCACCAGCGCCUUCGUCAUCGUUAGGGUAUGCUUGUGCGCGCGUUCUACCGAGGUGAGAGUCCGUCGAGCACCGUGAAUAGCUCGCCGGAGUUACCCCGAGCUCGCCGGAGUACUCCGCCGCGACGGAUCUUGUGUUUCUCUGCCUCUUUUCGCUGGUUCUUGGGUGCGCUAGGUCGGUAGGGUGGUGAGGAAGCUCGGAGAGGCGUUUGCGCACGCUCUACCGCGCCGGAGCGGCCUGGCCACAGCGAGCAGCGCCGCCGUGCCGCCAUGCAUGCUCGUCGGAGGUGUUCCAGUCAUCCUCCGGCCAAUCCAAGGGUACCGUUGGGUGCGCCUCGCUGCGGGGAGCACGUUGGUGCUUACCCCGUGGCCGGAGACCUCACCGCCGGCGAGAUCUGCUCGUCGGAGGUGAGCUCCCUCUCGGUCUCGCUGACCGGUGGGGUCGGGGACCCACUGUCAGUCGCAGGGGGACCCCGGUGGGUGUAGAUCUGGGUGUGCGUAGCCUUUUUCGUCGGUUUUCUUGAAUAAAUGAUUUGCAGAAAUUGAUUCAAAACUUGUAAAAUUCAUAUCUUGAGUUCUACAGCUCCAAAUUGGAUGAAAUAAAUUUUGGUGUGCUCUAUAUUUCCAGAUCUACAGUUUGAUGUAAUUGCAUGUCAUGUUUGAGUAACUUUUCUGAAUGAAUAUAUUUAAUCCAUGUUUUUGCUAAACUUGGAGAAUGCAUAGUAAAUAAAAUAUGGUUCAGAAAAAUGUGAAACUUGAUUUGUUGGCUCUGCAUGUAUGUUUACUCACUGGGAAAAUAUUGCUACAUAUUAUUUGGUGUAUAGAUGAAUUUAAGGUAAUUUAAAUGCUUGCAUGGCAGUGAUUUAUGAUUUUUAAUAAUUAAUUGGAUCAUGCAAUAAAUAUGGAAAAUUUUGUGGGUGUUUCUUAUGAUAUUAGAUAAAUUGUAAAAAUAUGAAAUCUGUUGUUUGACACUUAUAUCACAGUAGAGUGAUUAUACUUACCCUAUGAAUUAAUCUUGUGAUUUUUGUGGCUCAAAAUAAGUAUCCAAAAAUUAUGAAAAUUUACAGUAGACUUUAUGCGUAGCUGGUAGUCUCCUGUAAUUUUUGUGGAAUUUAUUGAUGAACAGAAUUGCAUGUGAUUUUUAGUGGGCCUAGAAAUGAAUAAAGAAAAUUUUGAAUUGUUGUGUAUAUAGGUUGAAUAGAAUAGGUUGGGUUUGGUGUAUCUUUGAAGCAUCAUGUGGGUUGCUGGUUGCAUUUGAAAAAUAAUUGUAGAAGAGAAUGCAAUAGAUGUUUAAUUCAAUUGUUUGUUCUUGGAUGUUGUUGACUACCUUGUAAUGAGCAUGAUCGAGUACAUUACAUAUGCAUCAUGUCAUGACUCCUUUGGUACUUUCUCAAACAAGCAUCCACUCGGGCAUCUCGCACUCCACUCAUAAGCACCCAUGCAUCAUACAGGCUCGCAGGAGAACGAAGUGGGACCCGAGGAACCCGAGGAGAUUCAGGAGCAGGAACCUCCGGAAGCACAGGAACCCGGAGAUGAGCUGCAGGAGUGUCCGGAUCACCGACCCAGCACGUUUGAGAAAGGCAAGCCCCAGAGCAUUCUAAGUCUCCCUAUUCUCGCUAACUUAUAUGAUGCGCUAUAAUUGUUCUACUAUAUUGCAUCUAAGUGAUAGGAUUUGAUUGAUGCCGUUGAUGCAUAUGUACUCCUUGUUAUCCCUACUCGUUCACCUACCUUGUCCUAUGUAGAUAGGUACGGAGUCUAUGCUUAGCUUGCUUAGUCCGGUAGAAGUCGGGUGAUUUCCUGUCACCUGCGAGAAAUAGGUGGAUACCUGCUUGAUUAAGCAUUGGUUGCUUGGGGAAAAGAAUAACCAAGUAUGGAAUGUAACUGGAGACCGGGCAGGGUCUUAUGGUGGGUUGACCAUAGUGCCCCUGCCUGCGUCGAUUAAGGACCAAUCGUUGACGGCCCUCUUAUCAUGUUGAACGCAUGCCCCACACUUAGCUGGAAGGAUAAGUCGUUCCGACCGUGAAGCCUGAACACUAUCCGGGCCGGGCAUCGAGCCGCCAUGCGCUGUAUUGGUGAUGGUUGAGGAGAACGACGAGGGCGCGGCACGCAACCUUGGUAUACCUUGGAUACCUCGGUCGUCGGAACGGUCCUCGGGUACUGGCGGUGCCUGCCGAACCAGCGAAUUGGUCCUGGAUAGUGUAAUACAGUGAUCUGUAGCUCACUUGAUUAGUGAGUGUGGUUUGUGUGGGGAAUACCUCGCCAGCUGGUUAGAAAUCGAUUCGAAUCGCCAUCGCUCCUGGAUAGUGAGCACUUGACAUGAGCUUCGUCCUCGUAGUAAGGACUAUGGAACACUUGGGUUAUGUUGAUGAAUGGUUUUAAGAAAUGCUAUGAUGAGGUACUAUCAUAGCCUUAUACUCGCUUGUAAUAGUGCAGGUGCAAACCUAGAUGAUAGGUAAUGAUACUUUCAACUUGAGUAAAUUAAAAGAAGAAAGACUUAUGUAGGUUAUGAUAGUAAAAUCCUGCGGUUUUGCAAAAUGGUUGUCAGCUACCCCACUAUAUAGCCUUCAUGAUCCUUGAUGAGUCUUUAUUUUAAGUUUAUGACGGGUAAGUCUAGCUGAGUACCUUCUCGUACUCAGGGUUCUACUCCCAUGUUGUUUUGCAGAUGGUCAAAUGUACUAUGGUUAUUGCAUCCUCUGUCUGUACCUAGCCAUGGGUGAUGACUAGACCAAGGGCGAUGGUCACUCCGUCUUCUCUUUUGCUUUUGUGGGAAUGACCGAACUAUGGCACUGUAUCAGACUAAGCGUGUGUGUUGUAUUUUCGAACUACGAAGCUUCCGCUACUUGAAGAACUUGGUUUGUAAUAACUUUAAGAACUCCGAUGUAUUUUAUGAAUGUUGAAAUCUGGAUGUAUUGUGAAUGGCGACCGCUAAACUUAUUACGAUCUUGGCUGUUGUGCGAUAUGUGGUUUGAAAUCCUUCGAGAUUUCACGGACUACCGGGAUUAUAUGGGCUUAAGCGUGAUGGUUUGACUAUGCAAAUGGUCACUGUUAGGCUUAAUCUCUUAUAAUUUGGUCGGUUCUGUUACAGCCUAUCGGCUCUUGUUCGGAACCAUGCCCCUAAAAUCGACAUACAUUCAGCUCCAGAUGGCAAAUCAGACAUUCCGAAAGGUUGAAGGUAUAGUAACUAAUAUCCCUGUCAAAAUAGACGAUCAUUUUUUCCAUACAGACUUUUAGGUUAUUGACAUGGGAGAAGACGAGUACGAUCCACCCAUCAUCCUUGGGAGACCGUUCCUCAGUAUCGUUAAAGCAAUCAUCUACAUUGGAACUAGAGAAGUCCACAAGCACUUUCCCUCAGAGAAGGUACGCCGCUACUUUACUGACCUUAAUUAUAUAGUUGAAGACUCUAAGCAGGUCAGGACAAGAUGAAGACGACACAACCGCAACCAGAGGAGGCAAAUCAUUAAGGACGGAUGGGCAGACUACGAAGGAGAAGUGGUAAGAUCUGAAGACAUACAGCUUGAACAGAAAUAUCAAGUGGAGACCGUAGCACCGAGUCAGGUGUGGAGAGAAAAGAUAGUUGUACACGAAGAUGAGGCGCCGCCGGAAGCACCGACUACGCCAUCCAACGAAUCCCAGGACAACUAAGAAAACAGAUAGUCCCGUUCGGAGGACUUAAAAACACCGAGCGCCUUGACAAGAGAUAAACUUGGUAGUUAUCCUUUUCCUUUAAAUUAUUUCAAAUAGUUUGCUUAGUUAAUCAUGUUCAUACUAUCCUAAAAGGAAAAUAAAAAUAUUAAAAAUAGUAAGCCCCAUGUGAGUAUACGAGUGGCAUAAAACUCAUAAGUACAUUCACUGUGGUGGCAUAAAAAUAAAAUAAAUAUUUUUUCUGCUCUAUACAAAUGAAGAUAUAAAAAUAAGAUUGUGAUCCUACCAAAGAGAGUAACAUUUAUUGAGGAGGCUCAACAUGAUAAAGGCUAGAUAUUUAUGCUAACACUUAAUCAGUUCCACAAAGCUUUGUUGUCUAUUUGUGCUCCACAGAAUUCAAGGAUCAAGAAGACUAGCAGACGGAGGACAUCCUAAUCGCUGUCAGGGUGCUGCCGACUUUGAAAUACACCUCUACCACCUACUAGCUACAUCAGAAGAAAUUACGUCAAAAUUCAGCUUGGGGGAGAGCACCCCCAUUUAUCUCGCUACGUAUUUCUAUCUACAUUUAUACUUAUACUAUUAAAGUAUAAAUAUACAUAAUCAUGAAAAACCAAAUAAAGAUUUUGUGCUUAUAUAUAUAUCUUUUGCUUAGUGUGAUUAAUAAAUAAAUAAAGUGGCUAUGCUAAACUGAAUCUUAAUAAAACUCUAGCAUGGAUAUGAUGAAUAGUUGCUCUGCCUAUUUUCCAAAUUUGAGUUCUCUCUCAAGUUUAGACAUAACUGUUAUAAUUUAAAGCUUGCUCUAAACCUAAACUUGUGGGAAAAGAAGUGGAUCUGAAGUCUAAGUUGUUAACGGGUAUGAUAUGAGAAGGUUGAGCUGUUGUUUAUCUAUUCCUAGAUACGCUAGAAUUAUGGAGAAUUUUAUCUUUGAAAAUCUUUAAACUAUCACAUGAUGAGUUCCUGUAUGAUGAUAGUUUAAAUUCCUACCACAGCCAUAUAUACAUGCUUGCUAGACUUUGAGCCACACAUUUACUUUUUACUGCUUAUGAGCAUUGAGUGUGGUCAAGCUAUGUAGACCCUUAGGAGCUUGUUAUGUGGUUAAAUCAAGAUUCACUUGCACAUUCACUCACACAUACUGCUUCUACUCCGGAAGUACGCAUCCACAUAUAUCCACACAUUUCCAUCUCCAGAACCACCCAAAAAUAUUCUACUCCUAAUCCGGGAGAGAAUAGCCAAAAACAUUCUUGGGUUUCUCUGUGAAAUAAAUGCUCAAGUUAUCUUGAUUACUACCACUUGCUAUAUUAUUUCAGGAGAUGAGUGUUGAUAUUUGGUAGCGCCAUCGGGAAAUGAUCCGCAAGCGCACGGAUAUCGGUGAGCAUUUCACCCGAGAGGUUAUCUAGAGUAUCGUAUUUAUAUUUUUACCACUGGGAGAAAGCGUGCAUCUGACUAACCAAAUCUAUUGCUACUACCCUUUAGGCUAUAAAGAAUGUUUCUCGAUGUGAGUGAUGUAUAGAGAAGACUGCAACCGUAGUCUCGUUCUAACCUUGGUAAGGAUGAUCUACUGUUCUAUUGGGGAGGCUAACGGAAUCUGGACACCACAGAGGAUGUUCAACGCGCACCUAUAAACCCUACCCGUCCUUCUAACAAGAUGUGGGCUCUAAAGGUAACUCGGAAAUGUCACGUUCCUCACUACUACCACGGUCCAGCUAGUCAGGAGAUAUCUAUGAGUACCCUAGCCCAAACACCAUGUUUACGCUAGCAAUGAUUACUCUAAACUCAACCGGAGGAGACUAAAGUAAACUCAUAAACCAAAGAACAAUAAAAUAAGAACUUACUAGAAUUUAGAAGUUGAAUUACUGAAGAAUCCUAAGAGCAAGCCUCGGGUUAGGAGAACAUGAUCCCACAGGUACAACCUCAGAGUAGACACCGAAAGGCCGGGCUUCCUCCGAACUACACCUCCACUCUAUCUCUCUCAAUCUAGUAGAACAUAGAAGAACUAAUUCUACUCUCAUAUUGGAUGCUAGGCCCUAAGUCUAUUUAGAGGAGAGGUAUUCCUUCGAGGGCUCCUCUCAACUCUAUGAUGAACUUGUUCUCCUCCAGGGGCCAGGGGGUCUGCUUAUAUACUCCCCUCAGGUGAACGUGGGCCGUCAGAUCAAACCGACAUUGAUUGAACGAUUAUCCUUGAUCCUUUAGGUCGGUGGAGCGUAAUCCCCAAAGCGAGUCCUGAUUGGACUCUGGGACAGGGCGGGCGCCCAAGGGGGAGGGCAGGCUCCCUGCCCCCAGGCCCGUUCGCCUUACCGUUCGUUCCCGUGGCUUCUGGAGUCUUCUAGAUAACAUUGCGUGGCAUGUUAAUAUCUCUAUGUAAACCCGACGUGUGGGCCUUUCCUCCAUAUUUCCUGAUAACCCCCUACAGAAAUAGACAAACACCAAAACUCAUGGAAUUCUGUCAGAUAAAACCCUAAGUCUAUGUGUUGGUUGCAUUUGGAUCCUUUUCUUUAUUUAUUUGAUGAUUAUAUUUGAUACUUAAGGACCGUCAACAACUCCCCCAAGCUUACCUCUUGCUCGUCCCUGAGCAAGGAUGGACUCAAGAGUUUCUGCAGUGGUUUCAUGCCUUAAAAGUACACAUGCGUUCAAGCAAGACCUCAUCUCUGAGUUAGAGUAAACUGUUAAGACUUAAAACUUACUCAUUUUACCUUUCACCAUGGGGCUUGUAACCGUAACUUGUGUCUUGAGCAGUUAAAAGAUAGAACGGUCAAGUCAAGCGCUAUGUCUCUUAUUCUUGAUCAGUUAUAGCUCUGGAGUUUUUGUAGAUUUUCAAAAUAAAACUCAGAGAUUCCUUGUAUGACUCUCUCUAGUCUCUCUUUUGUGUUUUUUCUAGAUCCUUUCCAAGGUUGUAUUGGUAUAUGCCUUCUCUCAAAGUAUGUGGUAUUUUUGGUAUGGGGCAUAGUGAUAUUGCCUUCUCUCUCACCCUACUCUAAUAAGGUUUUGAUAUCUAGAGCUCAUAGGUGGGAGACAGAUAAUACAUACUUACAAGACAUUUAUUGCAUAGUCAAAACAUGGAUCCAGAGAAAACAAGUCAAUAAGUCAAAUCAAGAUGUGCAUGUGUGGCGAAUGAAUGGUGUAUGGUGAUGAUGGUGAUAAUGGUGAAAGCGAUGGUGAAAGUCUAAUUCUACGUUUGCUCUUUUAAGGGGAUACAUACCUUUCUUGCACUUUUGAAGCUUUUUUUGAGGGGAAUGAGAUGCUCUAUAUUUUCUUUUUCUUUUUCUCUUAGGUGGGUAUCUUUGUACCCCUAAUUCUACAGUCGGACACUCGUCCAGUUUUACCUCUCGUCUCACUCUUUCUUUUCUUCGAGGUUCCGGGCACUUGCCCCUUUUUAUUUCCUCGUAUCCUCUUUUUUUUAGAGCACUCAUCUCCUUAAAUAAUAUAGCAAGUGGUAGUAACCAAGAUAACUGGAGCAUUUAUUUCACAGGGAAAUACAGAAAUGUUUUUGGCUAUUCUCUCCUGGAUUAGGAGUAGAAUACUUUUGGGUGGCUCUGGAGAUGGAAAUGAGUGGAUAUAUGUGGAUGCGUACUUCUGGAAUAGAAGUAGCAUAUAUGAGUGAACGUGCAAGUGAAUCUUGAUUUUAACCACAUGACAAGCUCCUAAGGGUCUACACAGCUUGACCACACUCAAUGCUCAUAAGCAGUAACAAGUAAAUGUGUGGCUCAAAGUCUAAUAAGCAUGUAUAUAUGGCUGUGGUAGGAUUUUAAAUUCUCAUCAUACAGGAACUCAUCAUGUGUUAUUUUAAAGAUUUUCAAAGAUAAAAUUCUCCAGAAUUCUAGCAUCUCUAGGAAUAAAUAGCAGCUCAACCUAUCCAUAUCAUAUCCGUUAACGACUCAGACUUUAGAUCAAGUACUCUUCCCACAAGUUUAGGUUUAGGGUUUAAAUUAUAACAGUUAUGCCUAAACUUGAGAGAGAUUUCAAUUUUAAGAACUAGUCAUGGCAGAGCAACUAUUCAUCAUUUCCAUGUGGGAGGUUAUCAUGAGGGUUCAUAGCAAACUUUAUUUAUUUAUUUAUUUAGCAAACUAAGCAAAGAUAUAUAUAUAAAAGCACAAAAUCUUUAUUUGGGUUUUCAUGAUUAUGCAUCUUUUUAUUAUUUGAGUAAAGUAUAAACGCGAGUAGAAACACUUAGCUGGAUAAAUGAGGGUGCUCUCCCCCAAGCUAGAUUUUGACGUAAUUUCUUCUGAUGUAGCUUGCAGGUGGCAGAGGUGUAUUUGAAUGACGGCAGCACCCUAACAGCGAUUAGGAUGUCCUCUAUCUGCUAGUCUUAUUUAAUCCUUGAAUUAUGUGGAGCUCAAAUAGACAACAAAGCUUUGUGGAACAGAUUAGGAGUUAGCAUAAAUAUCUAGCCUUUAUCAUGUUGAUCCUCCUCAGUAAAUGUUAUUUAUUUAGCAGGAUCAUGCACUUAUUAUUUUUAUAUUUUUAUUGUAAGAUGAAAACAUAUUUAUUUUAUGCCACCAUAGUGAAUGUACCUAUGGGUUUUAUGCCAUGAGCAUACUCACAUGGGGCUUACUAUUUUUUAACAUUUUUAUUUUCUUUUCGAGACGAUAUGAACCUAAUUAACUAAGCAAACUAUUUUAAAUAGGAAAAAGGAUAACUACCAUGUUUACCUCUUCGUAGGCAUUCGGUGUUUUUGAGUCCUCCGAACGGGAUUCUCCGUUUUCUCAAUCGUCGUGGGAUUUGCUGGGUGGCUGUUGACGGUCCUUAAUGCUCACAUUUAACCAUCAACUAAUCAUAGAAAAGUAUCCAAAUGCAACCAACACCCAGACUUAGGGUUUUAUGUGACAUAAUUCCACGAGUUUUGGUGUUUGUCUAUUUCUGCAGGGGGUUAUCAGGAAAUAUGGAAGAAAGGGCCACAUGUCGGGAUUACAUAGAGAUAUUAACAUUCUGCACAAUUUUCUACCAUAUAGAAGACUCCAGAAGCCACGGAAACGAACGGGAAGGCGAUCGGGCUCGGAGGCAGGGCGCCCGCCCUACUCUCCUGGGCGCCCGCCCACCUUCUGAGUCCAAUCAGGACUCUCUUUUGGGAUCGUGCUCCACCGACCUAAGGGAUCAAGGAAAACCAUGCGAUUAAUGUCGGUUUGAUCCGACGGCCCAGAUUCAUCUGAAAAGACUAUAUAAGCAAGGCCCCCUGGCCCCUGGAGAGCAUACCUCUUCUACAGAAUCAAAGUUAGGGUUUCAAUUCUUCAUCCAAGUAGAGAGGAUCCCUCUAGUUCAUCUAGUUCUACCUCUAGUUCAUCUAGUUCUAGUUCUAGUUCAUAUAGUUCUAGUUCUAGUUGUAGUUAGUUCUAGUUGUAAUCUUGAAAAUAGGAAGAGAGAAGAGGAGAGCGGAGGAGGAGGAGCUGGAUCUGUCGAAUCUUCCUCAACAUUGUACUUUUGCAGCAACUGGUUCGUUCUUCAUCGUUCUCUAGGUUCUUCAAUUCAUAAUUCCUGGGUUCUUUAAUUACUUUUAUUUACAUUCAAGUUAUUUAUUGGAUUCCCGCUUGCAUCAAGUGCUCUAAUCUUUGCAACAUUAGAGUAGUAAUUAAUAGAUUAGACGUGGUGUUUAGUCUUGCAAUUACCUGGAAUGGCACCCAAUCCUGCGGAUUGUUGUGGUAGCCCUAGGGUAGUGACAGCCCUAAUGGUCGACGCAUUCCACCUCGUUCGGAUCGGUGUUUGUAGGACCGUAGUCAGAGCUUCCUAGCCCCCUUCUCAUCUCUUUCUGUGGUUAGUGUUCUGAUGUCCCGAAAUAAAUAAUAUUUGAAGUAAUUCUUGAUUCUUAGAUCAAUUAGAGAACUCUCAGGAAACUUCCUCUCUUCCCACCAAAAAUAAUUAUAUAGUUAUCCUAGGACGAUCUUGAAUCUUAAUUAGUACACUCAAGUUCCCUGUGGAAAAAUCGAUACUCUGGAAUACUCCCGGGUGAAAGCUACAUCGAUAUCCGUGCACUUGCGGAUUUUCUGUUUGCGUUUAAAAUACCCAACAGUGGCGUAGUCGGUGGUUCCGUUGGCGCCUCCCCUUCGUGUAUAACUAUCUUCUCUUUCUGACUCGGUGCUAUGGUCUCCCCAGGAUAGUUCUAUUCAAGUUGUAUGUCUUCAGACCUUACCACUUCUCCUUGGUAGUCUACCCAUCCGUCCUUGAUGAUUUGCCUUCUCUGGUUGCGUUAUCUUCUUGUCCUUUAGGUACAUCAUUUGAUUAGGUGUGGACCUUGACGUCUGCACCUCUUGAUACGGAGUCACCCAUGUUCUUUGUUUGCUCAACAGUUCGAAGUGCGGUGUUGGCAAUAUCCUGCUCAGUGUGUUUGCGCUCGUAGAUCCAGGUCCUUCACUUCUUGGAGUUUGGGAGUUGUAAAACUCCUCCAUGUUUUGCUUGAAGUGUACCUGUUCAUAGAGACAAUGCAGAGAUCAAGUGCAUGGGCCCUGUUGGUCGAAAACACGAACAAAACCAAAAGUGUAUUGUUCUUCUCUAACCUUAAGCAUAGUGAGCAAGACAAAGUUGAUAGGAUCAAGAGUGUAGUAUUUGAAACAUUUGUCAGAUCAGAUGGCUCAACCUAAUGGAAAGAUAAUCUAUCUAUAUUUAUGUUUUGUUUAUAUCUUCCAAAGAUUGAAUGUGCACCAUAUUAGCUUAUAUGAUUAGAAGUGUGGGAUCACGAAGGUAGUACUAAGAACAAAGAUUAAAGGACUAAACAUGUUGAAUUAAUUGGGUUGAUUAAUUUGGAGCUACAAAUCAUACAUGUUUGUCUCUUUUAUUCAUGUGAAUGCCAGAACCAAGGAGAAACUUAUAAAAGUGAUAGUCAAGUACAUUAAGAUGUUACCUUAAUUGAAGAGUGAUGGUAUAGUAUCACCUUGUGGAAGCUUUCCUCUCUUAGCGGUUGUGCAUCGUGUUUGUGGCACCCUCCAAGGAUCAUCUCUUUAUGAUGAAUGAGCUAUGUCCUUCUUGUGCAAAUUGUUAAACUUCAUGUGUCUCCUUUAUCUCCAAUGAGUUUGUAUCUCAGGACUUCUCAGGUUGAUAUUGAAAGUUUUCCUGCAGGGGUUAGUCCAACAAAAUAUCCCAUAUGUACUAUAGCAUACUAUCGGCUCAAAAAUCAACCUAGACACCUUGUCUAAUUUGAUUUAGGAGGGCAUUUUAACCUAAGCACCAUGCUUAAUUUAAAAAUCCUUUGGAAGUAAGAUCAUCAUUCCUAAACUAAGCACCAUGUUUAACUAAGAGAUAAGUGAAACUACUCCAAACCUAGACAUAUACUAAAGCAAAUAAAGGUAGCAUGAGAGCAUUUAUAGAGAUCUACUCAAGUGGAGAUGAAGUAGUGUGAUUAGUAUUUAACAAAUUGAGCAUGUCUGAAAGGUAAGGACAACCAACAUAGCAACAUGGCAAAUGAUGUUUUUAUGUAAAGUACUCCCCCAAGCUUGAAUUUUGCAAAAUUCAAGUUUGGAUGAAUUUAAUUCAAUGUUGUGUGAUGGUUGGUUGGACAUACCUUGCACUUGUCAUUCCUCGGAUCUUCUUGCUCCAAUCCUAGAAAGGUUAGUGACACGAAUACCUGAAGGAAUAUUUCUACAAUUAUCUUUAUAUGCUCAAUACACAAGGCAAUGUUGCAAAUAAUUAAAAGUUCAUGUUACGAUCUGAUAAGUGCUUGUUUUAGGACACUAAGCUUAUCCUUGGGAAACCAUCAAUCAACUCAACGAGAUCUGCAAUAUUUAUUACAGACAUAUGCAUCGACAAGCGCUCUUUUAAAGUUGUUAUAAUUAGAAAGGAAGAGGGGGUUGGAGAUCUUAAAUGUGGCAGGUUGGAGAGACCAAUUGAAUGGGGAGUUGUUUUAUAUGAGCAAGGACUUGAUGAGGUAUUUAUGAAAUAACUUCCAUGCUCACUGUUGUUUCUUUCAUUCUCAAACUCCAAGGAUGAUUCUUCAUAAAUGCUUAGAAUUCCUCUAGGAUUGUCUCUCAAGUUUGUUUUAUCCAUCCAUUCAAUGGUGAUAGCAUAUGGAUUUUUAAUGCCCUCUAGCCAUUGAUGUUGCUCUUCUCGAUCCUCCUUGUUGUCUUGGUGACUCUUAUGAAUGGGAUGUCUAGAGAGAUUCAUAGGAUCAUCGGGAGGUUCAAGAGAAAGAGCAUAGUAGAAAUUAUUAGGCUCAAGGAUGGGUUGGAUAGCCGAAUCAUGGGAUUGGAAUGUUUGGAAAUCGGCUAUUGAAACUUCCUCUCCUUGUCUAGGAGAUGAUUCCUUCUCUAUCUCAAAGAUUUUUCUAUGAAGACUAGUACAAGAAGGAUGUCCAUGAAUGAAGACAUACCUUGCUUUACUAACAGAUAAAGAAAGAAAAACUCUACCAAAGGUUAUAUGAUUAAGACCAAUGUGAAAAUAUCGAGAAAAAAACAUGGCCUUGUAGGGCUAGGUCUAAACCAGAAUUUAUAGAAAGAUUAAAAGAUUCCCUAGGUAUAGCUAAAAGUUCAUUAUCUUCUUGAUUAAAAGAUAUGAUCUCACCUAUAGAAAAGGGUUGGUUUUGACCUAUUGCAAUCAACUCCGGACACAGAUCAUAAUUAGGGGCAGGACUUGUUGACUCCCAUGGUCUAUGGCUGGUCUCCGAAGGUGCAAAGAAUUCAAUAAUAGGUAUGGAAUUUGAGUUAUCCAUAAAGAUGGAAAAAAUAAAAAGAUAAAAGAAUAAAAGAAUAAAAGUAUAAUACAAGAUAAUAGCAAAACUAAAAGUUAUCUCAGCAAACCGUCUUUCUCCCCGGCAACGGCGCUAGAAAUGCUUGUUGAUAUUUGGUAAUGCCAUCAGGAAAUGAUCCGCAAGUGCACGGAUAUCGGUGAGCAUUUCACCCGGGAGGUUAUCCAGAGUAUCGUAUUUAUAUUUUUACUACUGGGAGAAAGCGUGCAGCUGACUAACCAAAUCUAUUGCUACUACCCUUUAGGCUACAAAGAAUGUUUCUCGAUGUGAGUGAUGUAUAGAGAAGACUACAACCGUAGUCUUGUUCUAACCUUGGUAAGGAUGAUCUACUGUUCUAUUGGGGAGGCUAACGGAAUCUAGACACCACAGAGGAUGUUCAACCCGCACCUAUAAACCCUACCCGUCCUGCUAACAAGAUGUGGGCUGCAAAGAUAACUCAGAAAUGUCACGUUCAUCGCUACUACCACGGUCCAGCUAGUCAGGGGAUAUCUAUGAGUACCCUAGCCCAAACAUCACGUUUACGAUAGCAAUGAUUACUCUAAACUCAACCAGAAGAGAUUAAAGUAAACUCAUAAACCAAAGAACAAUAAAAAAAUAACUUACUAGAAUUUAGAAGUCGAAUUAGUGAAGAAUCCUAGGAGCAAGCCUCGGGUUAGGAGAACUUGAUCCCGUAGGUACAACCUCGGAGUAGACACCGAUAGGCCGGGCUUCCUCCGAUCUACACGUCCACUAUAUCUCUCUCAAUCUAGUAGAACUUAGAAGAACUAAUUCUACUCUCACAUUGGAUGCUAGGCCCUAAGUCUAUUUAGAGGAGAGGUAUUCCUUCGAGGGCUCCUCUCAACUCUAUGAUGAACUUGUUCUCCUCUAGGGGCCAGGGGGUCUGCUUAUAUAGUCCCCUCAGGUGAACGUGGGCCGUCGGAUCAAACCGACAUUGAUUGAAUGGUUAUCCUUGAUCCUUUAGGUCGGUGGAGCGUAAUCCCCGAAGCGAGUCCUGAUUGGACUCUAGGACAGGGCGAGCGCCCAAGGGGGGAGGGCGGGCGCCCUGCCCCCAGGCCCAUUCGCCUUCCCGUUCGUUCCCGUGGCUUCUGGAGUCUUCUAGAUAACAGAAAUUUGCACGGCACGUUAACAUCUCUAUGUAAACCCGACGUGUGGGCCUUUCCUCCAUAUUUCCUGAUAACCCCCUGCAGAAAUAGACAAGCACCAAAACUCGUGCAAUUCUGUCGGAUAAAAUCCUAAGUCUAGGUGUUGGUUGCAUUUGGAUCCUUUUCUUUAUUUAUUUGAUGAUUAUAUUUGAUACUUAAGGACCGUCAACAAUGAGUGCUCUAAAAAAAGAGAAAAGAUACGAGGAAAUAAAAAGGGGCAAGUGCCCGGAACCUCAAAAGAAAAAGUGAGAUGAGAGGUAAAAAUGGACAAGUGUCCGACAGUAGAAUUAUGGGUGCAGAAUACCCACCUGAGAGGAAAGAAAAAGAAAAUAUAGAGCAUCUCAUUCUCCUCAAAAGUUUCAAAAGAGCAAGAAAGGUAUGUAUCCCCUCAAAAGAGCAAAAGUAGAAUUAGACUUUCACCAUUGUUAUCACCAUCAUUACCAUACACCAUUCAUUCGCCACACAUGCACAUCUUGAUUUGACUUAUUGACUUGUUUCUUUAGAUCCAUGGUUUGACUAUGCAAUAAAUGUCUUGUAAGUAUGUAUACUUAUCUCCCACCUAUGAGCUCUAGAUAUCAAAGCCUUAUUAGAGUAGGGUGAGGGAGAAGGCAAUGUCACUAUGCCUUAUACCUCAAAUACUACAUACUUUGAGAGAGAAGGCAUAUACCAUUACUGCCUUGGUAAGGAUCAAGAAAUACCACAAAAGAGAGAACUGAGAGAGUCAUACAAGGAAUCUCUGAAUUUUAUUUGAAAAUCUGCAAAAAACUCCAGAGUUAUAGCUGAUCAGGAAUAAGAGACAUGGCACUUGACUAGACCGUUCUAUCUUUUAACUGCUCAAGAUAGAAGUGAAGGUUACAAGUCCCAUGGUGAAAGGUAGAAUAAGUAAGUUUUAAGUCUUGACGGUUUACUCUAACUCAAAGAUGAGACCUCAUUUGAAAGCAUGUGUACCGUCAACUUUUAAAGGUAUUACAGCAACUUCUAAUGCAUCACUGAGAUUAUCCUUGCUCAGGGAUGAGCAAGAGUUAAGCUUGGGGGAGUUUGUUGACGGUCCUUAAGUAACGAAUUUAAUCAUCAAAUAAACAAAGAAAAGGAUCCAAACGCAACCGACACCCAGACUUAGGGUUUUAUCUGACAGAAUUCCACGAGUUUUGGUGUUUGUUUAUUUCUAUAGGGGUUAUCAGGAAAUACGGAAGAAAGGCCCACACGUCGGGUUUACAUAGAGAUAUUAACGUGUCGUGCAAUUAUCCAACAUCUAGAAGAGUCUAGAGGCCACGGUAACGAACGGGAGACCGAAUGGGCCCAGGGGCAGGGCGCCUGCCCUCCCCCUUGGGCGCCCACCCUGGCCUGAGGGCCAAUCACGUUCAACUUCGCGGAUCAUGCUCCACCAACCUAAAGGAUCAAGGAAAACCGUGCGAUUAAUGUCGGUUUGAUCCGACGGCCCAUAUUCAUUUGGAAGGAGUAUAUAAGCAGACCCCCUGGCCCCUGGAGGAGAGCACCUCUCUGAAACCCUAAUUUAUUUAUCCAUCUUGGGAGAAGAAGCCUCUGAUCAAGCCCUAGAGCCACCACAUCAAUAGAUCUCUAGUUUAGCAUAUCUACAUAGGAUUAGAACUAGAAGGAGUUAAUCUUCGAUUGGUUUCUGGAUCUGUCAAAAGGAUUCUUGGUAAUUCCUCUACUGUUCUUUAAUUGUUCAUCAUUGUUCUUCAAUAUUAUGAAUAUGACUUUAUUCUACUUCAAUAUAUUGAUUAUGACUUUGCUCUACUUGUUUAUAUUUGCAAUUAUAUUGUUCUUAGUUUAUCAUAGUUAUAUGCUUGGCUUAGUUAGAUUGGAAUUAUAUACAUGUUUAGGAUCGUAUAGCGUUUAUCCAUGUGUACAGUGGGUAAAUGAUAAGUAUUGUGUAGGCGUGGUGCCUAUGCCUUAUUUAUCUGCGAUUGUACCCUAUAUACCGGAUCGCGGGGUAGUUCGUGGUAUUGACAGCUCCAUUGAUUCUUAUAUAGUCCCCCUCUCGUGUAUAGGGCUGGCAGAGCAACAUUAUUACAGGGGAGUGAUUGCUAUGUUUCUCAUCUUUCUUGAUAAUAUCACUAUGCGUGGGCGUAGUCCUGUCUCUCAAUGAUUGCCAAGUAAAUUGCACUAACUAUGAUAUGCUAGACAUAGUUAAGAAUAGCUUAGGAAAUAUUCUUGUAGUACAUCCUAAUUAGAUGCUAAUGACUUGCUAGAAUAUCUAUUAAGGUGCUUAUCAUAUUUGUAUGUGGCUAGUUAUGCUGAUCAGAUUAAUUAUCUUUGUCACCAUUCAUACUUUAUCUAUCUUUUAUGUGACACUUAUCCCUGUAUGAAAGAGAUAGAUAAAUGCUCUCAAUUAUACAUGCAAUGAUAGAUACUCAAUUCUAUAUUCCAUUCCAUAAUCAACAUUGAUGAUUAGAAAUCCCUUCCCAGUGGUAAAAAUAUAAAUAACGAUAUCUCGAAUACUUCCCGGUUAAAAUGCUACAUCGGUAUUAAUCUGUGUGCUUGCAUAUCUCAUUUAUUAUUCAUUUAGAAGAGCAAUUGCAUAUUUCAAUACCGCGUCUCUCAUGUCAUGCUGGGGAUGACAACUUGGCUUAAGUGGCAUGAGGGAUAGGUUUGGCAUUUUUGGCGCCGUUAUCAGAAAUAGAAAACUAAGUCUACUUUUGGUAGUGACGUUAAGAAUGCUCAACACCCAUCGCGCUAUUUAGUGCUCUACCGAGCCCUCGCGGCCAGCCUAUGGGCGACCGACGCGGCCGUCCGCCAUGCUUGUGAUUAAGGUAGAUGAGGGCAGUAGAGCGUGCACGGGUGCUAGCAAUGGAGUCGUAGAGUUGAGGCGAGGCCGCUGCGCAUCUUAGCGUGGGCUAGGACCCCCGCUAACGGCGACCGGAAGCACGGCCAAGCCGCCGGCAGCGUGGGAGACGAAGCUGACAGCGGGGGGCCGCUGUCAGCGACGUCGUGAGAGGGAGGGCGCGCACGGCGUGCGGGCCGAGUUGCUGGGCCGCCCAUGGCACAGUGUCGUUUUCCUUUUUCCUUUUUGUGCAAAUUUGAGUUAUGUUUUAUUUUGUGUAGAAAAUUAUGUGCUGAUCCAAAAAUAGUGAAAAUAUUUGGGUAUGUUCUAUGCAGUGAGCAGAACAUAGGAAAAAUGUUAAAUUCCAUUUUCUGAUACAUUGAACCUCUACAAAAAUUGUAUCCUUUAUUUAGUAAAUAAAACUUCCAUGAAUUUUAGGAAUUUAUUAAUAUGUCCAAAAAUCACCAAAAUUUGUGAGAUGUCUCUGAAUAUUAUUUCAUGGCUUCACACAAAAUUUGGUGGCAUUAGGAUAAUGUUUGAAUAAAAUAUUAAUAUACCCUUAGUUAGUAAUUACGUAAUAACCAUAAAAUAAUUAGAUAAUAAUUAGCUUAAUUUUCAAAUUAGUAUUUGAGUGAUUUUGGGAUUGUGUGAUGACUUGAAGUCAUUAACCUUAAUGACCUUUGACAUUCAAUUAUUGUUUGGUAUUAAUGAUUAAUUAUUGUCAUUAAUGCUUAAUUAAAGAUUAAUUAAGAUAAAAAGGAUUAAUAAUUAGUUAAUUAAGAAUAACUAUAAAUUAAGAAGGUCUUAGUUUACUAAUGCAACCUCUUGGGUAACAACACUAAAGUGAUAAACAACCUUAACUACUAUUUAACCUGUCUUUUCACCGAGAAGGAAAAUUGUACUCAACACGGUCCUUCUUUUGUGUUGUCAUAAGCAUAUCAUGAGCAUACAUUAUUUUUCGUAUAGUGCACGUGACCGAGGGAAUGACCAUUGAAGCGAACCCCGAAAUUGGUGUUCCGCUCAAAGAUGUUGGAUCCAAGACUUGGGAAGUCUUCGAGGAACCCACUCAGUUCUGCAACCAAGGCAAGCCCCGGAUGCAUUAACCCUUCCUUGAAUAUUUUAAAUCUUUCAUCACUUAUGAAUCAAAAUGCUGCAUUACGUAGUCAGGAAUUGGGAUAACCAAUUGUUGCAUUUACCACCUUGAUAUUUGUUAUCUUGUCCUUGGCACCUGUUUUAUUUUAAAAUUGUGUAGUGAUGCUUAGCCCUGCUUAUUAGAUAGGUUUUCAAUUAAGAAAGUUUGAAGGGUUGUUGUGGAAUACUUUUAUUGUCAAUGAUGUUUCAACUUGAGACCGGUCGGUGGACUUCCUUUAAGAAUGGAGUCUUAAAAUAGUGUCUCCAACUGUGUCGAUUAAGGACCGGUCCGUUGAUGGCCUAUUGGGUUGAGAAUUUAUAGUACUGGCCACCUGCUCUCGUUAAGCCCGGUCUUGUGAUUCCUCGACGAGAGCGGCUACUCACGCACUGGGCGUGGAGCAAUGGCGAGAUUAGUGUGUACAUUCCUGGCAAAAAUGGGCUGGACGGUGGAGUACUGUGCUCUCAGGUGCUGCGAACCCGGUCAGAUAUUGGGAAAGCAAAAUUUGGGUUGACAUAUGCAAGAUUCGGUUCUACAUAUGUCGGAUGGUUAGGAACUCCAGCUGGAUUGCUAAGUGGUUCGAAUCGUCGUUGCUCCUCGAUUGGAAGACUCAAUUCCUUUGACCAUCAUCGUAGUUAAAUAUGCAACUAAGUGGUGAAAUGGGAAAAGGGAAUGUCUCAUGGAGUUUGGAUACCAAUUCCCGGACUCAGAGUGACAUGAAGCUUUGGCCGUCGAAUGAACAACAUAGUUAUUAAGGACUAUGAAAUUACAGACUUGUCUGUAAAAAGCAAAUAGAUAGACUGACCUCAAAUUCCUUGGCCUCUCGAGGUGAGCAAUUCGUGGCUAAAACUUGAAAGUAAGGAUACACUAUUAGUAAGCUUUCAUGCAAAACAAUCUGGUUCCUUGCUUAGCCACGCCUUGUCUACCCUAAGCCUGCAUUCUUAAGUUCUCAUCUUUUCCUGUUGGGUAAGUCUUGUUGAGUACUCCACUACUCAGGGUUUUAUAACCCCUAUUGCAGGUGAUGUUCAGGUGCCGACUUGUUUCGGACCCUGUUGUGUGACCGUCGUCGAGGUUGACGAUGAAGAAGAGGGAGCGUGACCCGUGGGUAGGGUCUAUAAGUUUGUAAUCUUUGUAAUAUGGUUUAAGUUGCUCCAUUGGACCUGGCUUGUAAUAACACUUUACCUAAAUCCUACUUUGAUGAACCGCUUUUGUAAAUUAAAUUAUGUAAUACUUCUGUUGUUUUACUCUGAAAUGCUACUUUGGUCAUAUACUGUUGGAGAUACUGCAAUAUCUUUGCAAUGAAUGAUCCUGGUGUUAAGGUGGUCACUUGCUAUCCUAUAAGGGCGAGAAGAAGAAAUUCUCUUUAAUUGACCAUUGCUAGUGGUCAGGACGAGCUCAGUUAUUAUGCCACAGGUAGCAGUGGAAUGGGCAUCGUGUGAUGCUCAUCGAGCUUAUAGAGUAGAUGGAUCCCCGGCAUCACCGUCAGAGGUCCUUGGGACAAUGAUAGGUGUUGGUGAGCGCAACUACUUAGGAGGUUCUGCCACACAAUCCCAAUGAUCUUUAUGCCGAUUCCAUUCUUCCUGAUGCCUCUCUUCUUGCUGACGUCGAAACCGAUCCUCACGCUGUUGCCAAUUCUCUCUUUGUAGCCUAUGGGUGAUCACGACACCAGAUCAAGGAGGCCUUUCAGAAGUGCUACUUUCUUCGAAAAUACCUUCUCCUUUUGCGUCAUUGGUAGUUACCUGAUGUUGGGGAUCCACCGAUGCGUUCUCCUCGGCAAUUUCUGAUGUCAGGAUCUUAGUCUUAUCCUCAUCAUCCAACAUGUUAGUGGGAAAAGGGUACUGAUCAAUUUUCAUUGGCUUCUGAGUUUUAGAGCCAUUAAAUUUAACUCUCCUAGAUUUUAUAGCCGAUUGCAACUAUUGCCUGAACACUUUACAUUUAUUUGUAUUAUGUGAAGUUGCAUUAUACCAUUUGCAAUACUUGAUCUUCUUCAACACUUUUGCCGAUGGAAUCACAUGGUUUGGUGAUAAUUUAAUCUGGUCCUCUUGUAACAAGAGGUCGAAUAUACUAUCGGCUUUUGUGACAUAAAAAGCAAACAUUUCUAGUUCUUUCUGACGAAAAGGACAAGAUAUCGGCUUCUUUUUUCACCCACUCAGCUAUGUGUUAGCAAAUCUAAACGCACACAGGCUAGAGUAAGAUGUGACAAGUAUCAACAAAUUGUGGCGCCUAACCAGCACUGAUUAAAUGCAAGCCUAAGCUAUUACUAGGAUAGGGUGUCAGGCUACCCUGAGCAAUGGCUCGAGAAAUGCUAAGCAACGCUAAACUCUAGCAGUGACGCAAGACGUACAAAGGGUAACUCUCCAAGCGCAAAGGUACCACUGUAGCACUUCAACCGUGGUGAGUAUCCAUGUGUCGUAAUUUAUAGUUCGCUCACAGGAAGCGGACUAAGACUCUCUUAAUAAAUAUUUGGAUGGAUAUCCGUGGUUUGUGUCUACUCAAUCUAAGUUCACUAGUGCUAAUAGGGGGGUAAGAAUAGCAAGAUAGAAUAAUAGAUAAGUCAGAUAAAGGUAAUUAAAAAUAAUUGGUAGUGAGCUAGUUAGUUGGGAGGACAACGAGUGAGUAAGGACUCCUAUGUAUCUAACUCUACUUCUAUGUUCUAAUCCUGAUCAAUGUAAAUGACUAAAAUAGACUAGUAUCCAAAUAGUCUUGUGUGGUGGAAGUCGACUGCAAAGGAGGCCAAAACUCCUAUGCAAGCAGACUUUUGUCUUAUGGCGCCUACAGACCGUACCCGACAUGAAUAGAACCUACUGGGAAGCAGAGGUCUGUCAUGCUUCGCCGCCACCUGCUAACACGUUUGAUACGGUGGCAUCCACUAAUAAGCGCUAGCCUAAGCACCUCGCUUACACUAGUCUUAUAACUUCAACUAUCACGUAAAUAGCCAAAGCCCCUAAUGGUAGUGGAACACACACAAGGUGUUGAAGACACUAAUCUAACUAAGGCAGCUACACUAAUAAGACUAAGACAGAACACUACUACAAGUAUAGUAAUGCACUAAGCAAUACUCAAAGUAAAGACUUGAAGCAAAUACUUAGUAAAGUAAAGAAAGACUAUAUUGAUAUAGAGAAUGUAAUACAAGAGAAAAGGUACAAGAGCUAUACCAGACUCUCCAAAAGAUAGCUCUAGAGACCGAGCUUCGCUCGACUCGACGCUAACUCCCACUCUAGACUAGACUACACUACACUUGAUCUCCCAAGUGUGAUUUGGAAAUGAAAAUGAGAGAUGGAAGAUGCGAGGUGGAGGACCCCUCCUUAUAUAGAGGUGAGAGAGGGGGUGCCAUGUUAGCGAUCCGCGUGCUCCUUCCUUCUCCACCCUUGGAUGCACCGACCUCCCAACCGCCUUAGAUGGACGGUUGGAGCAUUGCCACACAUGAGGAAGGUCGGUGGGAGUGAACCGACUCCAGAUGGGGCCCACAUGUAGGUCGGUCGACCUUCCCUAUGGCUGAUAGUGGGUCCCACUGACAUUCUAGAAGGUCCUUAGGUCGGUGGGAGGCUAGGCUAGGUGGCAUCACCCAAUUGGUCGGUUGGUCGAUCGACCUUUGGUGCCCCUGGCCCACCACAGGCCUCCUAGUGGUGUCCCCACUUGUCAUGUGAAGUGUUGUCCAAAAUUGAGUCUAGUUGCACACUUGCUUGCUUCCAUGUAGGCCUAAGGAUCCAUGUGCUAAGUGUUUAAACCGUUGAGGGCAAGCACACUUGGAUCCAAGGGUUGAAAUUGACUCCUUGGAGUAUGCCAUGGCUCAUGCUAUGGAGGGGAGCCCCUGGUGGGCCCAAUCCUUGGUCGACCGACCUAGGUUAUGGGGCCCUCAGGGCUCAUUUCCUUCUUCCCUGCAUUGAACAAGCUACGAGUACAAGUGGAACUUUAUUAGUGAUAAAUAUGUUCAUGUGAUGCUUAUCUUCCUUCAAUCGAGGACUGUUGAUGGGCUUUUGAGUAUAUAGAACUGGGUCUUAUUUCCCGUCAACAAGAUGCCCCAAGCUUGACCUUUGCUCGUCCCGAGCAAACAUUCAAGACUUGGUUCGAUUGGAUUAGGUAUUAUCACUAAGUUAACCUCUUGAUAGUACUAAGUGCACAACAAAGAACUUCUCCUUGAAUGGAAAACAUAGCAAUGCUAACACACUAAUGUUACUUUAGCACCCAUGGGGCUUAUAGCAUUAACUCAGUCUUGGGAUGUUGAGAGAUAGAAUAGCUUUGAUUGGACAUCUACUUUUCUUAUUCCUUAGCAAGUUUCAUGCCAGAGGUUUUUUUGUUAAGUUUUUCAAAAGAAAUCUUAAUGUUCCUCAUAUGGUUUCUCUCAAGUCACUCUACUGGUGUAUAAAUCCUUACCGAGGCAUAUGAGUAAGUUGCCUUCUCUAUGUAAUCCUACUAUAAUAAAGGCUUAUGUGGAGCUCAAGGUAGGAACAAGGUGAUGGCGUAGUUACAUUGCAUAUGUUGUGAAGUCAAACCUUGGAUCCUUGGAAGAAGAGUAGUGUCUGUUGACGGUCCUUAUGUAUCAAAUUUAAUUAUCAAAUAAACAAAGAAAAGGAUCCAAAUGAAACCAACACCUAGACUUAGGGUUUUAUCUGACAGAAUUCCACGAGUUUUGGUGUUUGUCUAUUUCUGCAGGGGAUUAUCAGGAAAUAAGGAAGAAAAGCCCACAUGUCAGGAUUACAUAGGGAUAUCAACACACCGCGCAAUUUUCUACCAUCUAGAAGACUCCAGAAGCCACGGGAAGAAAGCAGAGGCCGAAAGCGGCCAGGCCCAGGGCGCCCGCCCUCCUUCCCUGGGCGCCCGCCCUGACCUGGACUCCGUUCGGGACUCUCUUCACACACGAUGUUCCACCAACCAAAUGGAUCAAGGAUGAUGUAGUACCACAUCGCCUAUCGACCCAAAAAUGAAUAGAGGAGGGGGACUAUAUAAGGAGACCCCCCUGGCCCCUGGAGAAGACAAGAAGUUAUCAUAGAGAUUGAGGGGUGCCCUCGAAGGAAAACAUCUUCUCUAAAUAAUAUUUUUUUUAGGCUUAGCAACCAAUGUGAGUAGAAAUAGAUCUUCUAGUUUCUACAAGAUUGAGAGAGAUAGAGUGGAGGUGUAGAUCGGAGGAAGGCGGCCUGUCGGUGUCUACUCCGAGGUUGUACCUACGGGAUCAAGUCUUCUAACCCGAGGCUUGCUCCUAAGAUUCUUUAGUAAUUCGACUUCUAAUUCUAGUAAGUUCUUGUUUUAUUGUUCUUUGGUUUAUGAGUUUACUUUAAUCCUCUUCCGGUUUAGUAUUAGAGUAAUCAUUGCUAGCGUAAACUUGGUGUUUAGGCUAGGGUACUCAUAGAUAUCCCCUGACUAGCUGGACCGUGGUAGUAGCGAGGAACAUGACAUUUCCGAGUUACCUUUGUAUCCCAUAUCUUGUUUGCAGGAAGGGUAGGGUUUAUAGGUGGGGGUCGAACAUCCUUUGUGGUGUCUAGAUUCCAUAAGCUUCCCCAAUAGAACAGUAGAUCAUCCUUACCAAGGUUAGAACGAGACUACGGUUGCAGUCUUCUCUAUACAUCACUCACAUCGAGAAACAUUCUUUGUAGCCUAAAGGGGUAGUAGCAAUAGAUUUGGUUAGUCAGAUGCACCCUUUCUCCCAGUGGUAAAAAUAUAAAUACGAUACUCUGGAAAACCUCCCGGGUGAAAUGCUCACCGAUAUCCGUGUGCUUGCAGAUCAUUUCCUUAUUGCGUUACCAAAUAUCAACAAGCAUUUCUGGCGCCGUUGCCGGGGAGAAAGACGGUUUGCUGAGAUAACUUUGAGUCUUGCUAUUAUCUUGUAUUAUACUUUUAUUCUUUUCUCUUUUUAUCUUUAUGGAUAACUUAAAUUCCAUACCUAUUAUUGAAUUCUUUGCACCUUCGGAGACCAGCCAUAGACCAUGGGAGUCAACAAGUCCUGCCCCUAAUUAUGAUCUGUGUCCGGAGUUGAUUGCAAUAGGUCAAAACCAACCCUUAUCUAUAGCUGAGGUCCUAUCUUUUAAUCAAGAAGAUAAUGCACUUUUAGCUACACCAAGGGAAUCUGUUAAUCUUUCUAUAAAUUCUGGUUUAGACCUAGCCCUACAAGACCAUGUUUUUCCUAGAUAUUUUCACAUUGGUCUUAAUCAUAUAACCUUUGGUAGAGUCUUUCUUCCUUUAUCUAUUAGUAAAGGAAGGUAUGUCUUCAUUUGUGGACAUCCUUCUUGCACUAGUCUUCAUAAAAAUAUCUUAGAGAUAGAGAAGGAAUCAUCUCCCAGACAAGGAAAGGAAGUUUCAAUAGCUGAUUUCCAAACAUUUCAAUCUCAUAAUACGGCUAUCCAACCCAUCCUUGAGCCUAAUAAUCUCUACUAUGCUCUUUCUCUUGAACCUCCCGAUAAUCCUAUGAAUCUCUCUAGACAUCCCAUGAAUAAGAAGGAGGAUCGAGAAGAGCAACAUCAAUGGCUAGAGGGCAUUAAAAAUCCAUGUGCUAUCACCAUUGAAUGGAUGGAUAAAACAAACUUGAGAGACAAUCCUAGAGGAAUUUUAAGCAUUCAUGAAGAAUCAUCCUUGGAGUUUGAGAAUGAGAGAAACAACAGUGAGCAUGGAAGUUAUUUCAUAAAUACCUUACCAAGUCCUUGCUCAUAUAAAACAUCUCCCCAAUCAAUUGGUCUCUCCAUCCUUACCACAUUUGAGAUCUCCAACCCCCUUUUCCUUUCUAUUUAUAAACACUUUAAAAGGGUGGUUGUCGAUGCAUAUGUCUAUAAUAAAUAUUGCAGAUCUCGUUGAGUUCAUCUUGAUAUAGGUCAGCGUCGGAGGGGAAACCACUUCACCAACAUAACUUGAUGGUUUCCCAAGGAUAAGCUUAGCGUCCCUAAACAAGCACUUAUCAGAUCGUAACAUGAACUUUUAAUUAUUUGCAACAUUGCCUUAUUGAGCAUAUUGAGAUAAUUAUAGAAAUAUUCCUUCGGGUAUUCUUGCCACUAACCUUUCUAGGAUUGGAGCAAGAAGAUCGGAUGAAUGACAAGCACAAGGUAUGUCCAACCAACCAUCAUACAACAUUGAAUUAAAUUCAUCCAAACUUGAAUUUCGCAAAAUUCAAGCUUGGGGGAGUACUUUACAUAAAAACAUCCUUUGCCAUGUUGCUAUGUUGGUUGUCCCUACCUUUGAGAGAUGCUCAAUUUGUUAAGUACUAAUCACACUACUUCAUCUCCACUUGAGUAGAUCUCUAUAAAUGCUGUCAUGCUACCUUUGUCUAUUUACUAGCAAGUGUUGGUUUGGAAGUACUCGACAUACUUCCAUUGGCAUUUAAAUUAAGCAUGGUGCUUAGGUUAAAUAGCCUUCCUUAAUCUGAUUAGACAUGGAGUCUAGUUUGGUUACGGAACUAAAAAAACUGCUUGAGUAGAUAUUGGUAUAUUUUGUGGGACUAACCCCUGCAGGAAAACUUUCAAUAUCAACCUGGGAAGUCCUGAGAUAAACUCACAUUGGAGAUGAAGAAAGUGACACAUGAAGUUUAAUAAUUUGCACAAGAAAGACGUAGCUCAUAAGAGAUGAUUCAUGGAGGGUGCCACAAACACGAUGCACAACCGCUAAGGAAAGCUUCCACAAGGUGAUACUAUACCAUCACUCUUCAAGUAAGGUAACACCUUAAGGUACUGGACUAUCGCUUUUAUAAGCUUCUCCUUGGUUCUAGCAUACACAUGAAUAAAAGAGACAAACAUGUAUGAUUUGUAGCUCCAAAUUAACCAACCCGAUUAAUUCAACAUGUUUAGUCCUUUAAUCUUUGUUCUUAGUACUACCUUCGUGAUCCCACGCUCUUAAUCAUAUAAGCUAAAGUAUUGCACAUUCAAUCUUUGGGAGAUAUAAACAAAACAUAAAUAUAGAUAGAUUAUCUUUCCAUUAGGUUGAGCCAUCUGAUCUGACAAAUGUUUUAAAUGCUACACUCAUGAUCUUAUUAUCCAUCAACUUUGUCUUGCUCACUAUGCUUAAGGUUAGAGAAGAACAAAUACACUUUUGGUUCUGUUGGUGUUUUCCACCAACAGGGCCCAUGCACUUGAUCUCUGCCUUGUCUCUAUGAAUAGGUACACUUCAAACAAAACAUGGAGGAGUUUUACAACUCCGAGAUUGCACCAAGUGAAGAACCGGGAUCUACGAGCACAAACACAAUGGAGAUCAGACACUUAGUUUCCCAAAGGAAAUAUUGAAGAACCUCUGUGUCCGAGUUGGUACCUUGUACGCUCUAGCAAACUUCGUGGUGAUAGAGACUGGUAGUGAGGAGAGGGUACCCAUCAUCUUAGGGAGGCCAUUCCUAAAUACCAGAGCUGACAUCUACGCUAAUGCUGCCAAGAUCAGUUUCUACAUCAAGGGGAAGAAGGAGACUUUCUUUCAAGAACAAGACUACACAAAUUUCAGAGCAAUCCCGACAUGAACCAAGGAAGAGGACCAAUAGGAGGAACAGGAACAAGCAAAUGUGGACGGAGUCAACUAAGAUGGUCACUGCAGCUCAAGGAGGUCAAGAUCGUCGACUCAAGUCACCUUUCCUGAUCAAGAAGGACGACCCUGGUGUUCCAAGCAUUGAGUGCACAAUCAAUGGAUACUCUUUUCAGAAGACACUCUACGACACCAGAUCUGACGUCAACAUAAUGGCCGUAGUCACUUAUCAGCUCCUGCAUGGAACCAUGCCCCUACAACCAACAUACAUUCAGCUCCAGAUGAUUUUCAGGUCAUUGGCAUGGGAGAAGACGAGUACGAUCCACCCACCAUCAUUGGAAGACCAUUCCUCGACACCAUCAAAGCCAUCAUUUAUAUUGGAACCGGAGAAGUCCACAUGCACUUUCCUCUGAAGAAGGCGACGCAACCGCAACCAGAGGAGGCAAAUCAUCAAGGAUGGAUGGGCAGACUACGAAGGAGAAGUAGUAAGGUCUGAAGACAUACAGCUUGAACAGAAUUGUCCCGAGGAGACCGUAGCAUCGAGUCAGGUGUGGAAAGAGAAGAUAGUUAUACAAGAAGAGGAGGCGCCGCCGGAAUCACCGACUACGCCACCUAGCGAAUCCCAGGACGACUGAGAAAACGGAGAGUCCCGUUCGGAGGACUUAAAAAUACCGAACGCCUUGCCAAGAGGUAAACUUGGUAGUUAUCCUUUUCCAUUCAAUAGUUUGCUUAGUUAAUCAGGUUUAUGCUAUCUUGAAAAGAAAAUAAAAAUGUUAAAAAAAUAGUAAGCCCCAUGUGAGUAUGCUCAUGGCGUAAAACCCAUAAGGACAUUCACUGUGGUGGCAUAAAAAUAAAAUAAUUAAGUUUUCAUCUUACAAUAAAAAUAUAAAAAUAAUAAGUGCAUGAUCCUGCUAAAUAAGUAACAUUUAUUGAGGAGGUUCAACAUGAUAAAGGCUAGAUAUUUAUGCUAACACUUAACUAGUUCCACAAAGCUUUGUUGUCUAUUUGAGCUCCACAUAAUUCAAGGAUCAAAGAAGACUAGCAGACGGAGGACAUCCUAAUCGCUGUCAGGGUGUUGCCGACAUUCAAAUACACCUCCACCACCUGCUAGCUACAUCAGAAGAAAUUACGUCAAAAUCCAUCUUGGGGGAGAGCACCCCCAUUUAUCCAGCUAAGUGUUUUUACUCGCGUUUAUAUUUUACUCAAAUAAUAAAAAGAUGCAUAAUCAUGAAAACCCAACUAAAGAUUUUGUGCUUUUAUAUAUAUAUAUAUAUCUUUUCUUAGUUUGCUAAAUGAAUAAAUAAAUAAAGUUUGCUAUGAACCCUCAAGAUAAACUCUAGCAUGGAAAUAAUGAAUAGUUGCUCUGCCAUGACUAGUUCUUAAAAUUGAAAUCUCUCUCAAGUUUAGGCAUGACUGUUAUGAAGUAAGAUUUGCUCUAAACCUGAACUUGUGGGAAGAGUACUUGAUCUAAAGUCUAAGUUGUUAACGGAUAUGAUAUGGGAAGGUUGAGGUGCUAUUUAUCUGUUCCUAGAGAUGCUAGAAUUCUGGAGAAUUUUAUCUUUGAAAAACCUUUAAAAUAUUACAUGAUGAGUUCCUGUAUGAUGAGAGUUUAAGAUGCUACCACAACGAUAUAGACAUGCUUAUUAGACUUUGAGCCACACAUUUACUUUUUACUCCUUAUGAGCAUUAUGUGUGGUCAAGCUAUGUAGACCCUUAGGAGUUUGUCAUGUGGUUAAAAUCAAGAUUCACUUGCACGUUCACUCAUAUAUGCUACUUCUACUCCGGAAGUAGCAUCCACAUACAUCCACUCAUUUCCAUCUCCAGAUUCACCCAAAAGAAUUCUACUCCUAAUCCGGGAGAGAAUAGCCAAAAACAUUAUCCUAUCCCUAUUAUUCUCUGUGAAAUAAAUGCUCCAGUUAUUUUGGUUACUACCACUUGCUACAUUAUUUCAGGAGAUGAGUGCUCUAAAAAAGGGAGAAAAAAAGAGAAAAAAAAUACGAGGAAAUAAAAAGGGGCAAGUGCCCGGAACCUCGAAGAAAAGAAAAAGUGAGACGAGAGGUAAAAAUGGACAAGUGUCCGACAGUAGAAUUAGGGGUACAAGAUACCCACCUGAGAGAAAAGAAAAAAAAGAAAAGAAAAUAUAGAGCAUCUCAUUCUCCCCAAAAAGCUUCAAAGUGCAAGAAAGGUAUGUAUUCCCUCAAAAGAGCAAAAGUAGAAUUAGACUUCCACCAUUAUUAUCACCAUCAUCACCAUACACCAUUCAUUCACCACACAUGCACAUCUUGAUUUGAUUUAUUGACUUGUUUCUCUGGAUCCAUGGUUUGACUAUGCAAUAAAUGUCUUGUAAGUAUGUAUUAGUUGUCUCCCACCUAUGAGCUCCAGAUAUCAGAACCUUAUUAGAGUAGGGUGAGAGAGAAGGCAAUAUCACUACGCCUCAUACCAAAAAUACCACAUACUUUGAGAGAAGGCAUAUACCACUACUACCUUGGUAAGGAUCCAGAAAUACCACAAAAGAGAGACUAGAGAGAGUCAUACAAGGAAACUCUGAGUUUUAUUUGAAAAUCUGCAAAAAACUCCAGAGCUAUAGCUGAUCAAGAAUAAGAGACAUGGCACUUGACUUGACCGUUCUAUCUUUUAACUGCUCAAGACACAAGUGACGGUUACAAGCCCCAUGGUGAAAGGUAAAAUGAGUAAGUUUUAAGUCUUAACAGUUUAUUCUAACUCAGAGAUGAGAUCUUGCUUGAAUGCGUGUGUACUUUUAAGGCAUGAAACCACUGCAGAAACUCUUGAGUUCAUCCUUGCUCAGGGACGAGCAAGAGGUAAGCUUGGGGGAGUUGUUGACGGUCCUUAAGUAUCAAAUUUAAUUAUCAAAUAAACAAAGAAAAGGAUCCAAAUGAAACCAACACCUAGACUUAGGGUUUUAUCUGACAGAAUUCCACGAGUUUUGGUGUUUGUCUAUUUUUGCAGGGGGUUAUCAGGAAAUAAGGAAGAAAGGCCCACAUGUCAGGAUUACAUAGGGAUAUCAACGCACCGCGCAAUUUUCUACCAUCUAGAAGACUCCAGAAGCCACGGGAAGAAAGCAGAGGCCGAAAGGGGCCAGGCCCAGGGCGCCUGCCCUCCUUCCCUGGGCGCCCGCCCUGACCUGGACUACGUUCGGGACUCUCUUCGCACACGAUGUUCCACCGACCUAAUGGAUCAAGGAUAAUGUAGUACCACAUCGCCUACCGACCCAAAAACGCAUAGAGGAGGGGGACUAUAUAAGGAGACCCCCCUGGCCCCUGGAGAAGACAAGAAGUUAUCAUAGAGAUUGAGGGGUGCCCUCGAAGGAAAACCUCUUCUCUAAAUAAUAUUUCUUUUUAGGCUUAGCAACCAAUGUGAGUAGAAAUAGAUCUUCUAGUUUCUACUAGAUUGAGAGAGAUAGAGUGGAGGUGUAGAUCGGAGGAAGGCCGGCCUGUCGGUGUCUACUCCAAGGUUUUACCUGCG